AUAUAUAUAUAUAUAUAUAUGUUAUUUACCUGCCGGCUUAUUCUGUGUGUUGUAUUGUGUGUAUUUAUGUUCAUCGUUCUUCUUGUUACAUUAUAGCUCAAGUAAAUGUUUUAUUACUGUAUUUGGUGUCGGGCUGUUUGAUGUGUGUUGACAGUUUAAAUAUAUGGUUAGCAGAUUGUAGUCACCUAGCAUUAAUUAAUUAAGAAACAGUUAAGAAUUCGGGCAGCGCACUCCACUCAAAUAGCCAGGACGGCUAGGGGGCGCUACAAGUAUACCAAGGUAUAGGUUACAGUAGGCCAAGGAGAGUAGAGGAAAGAAAAACUGAGGUUAUAUGAGAAACAAUUCUCCUUUUUGUUUUCCUAUAAGUUGCGUGCAGCGGUCAGCAAAAGUCAGUUCACAGCGUAAAUAAUAACGGAUAAUGCAAGGAACCAACUUCAAUAACUUCAUGAGUCUCUAACUGUAGCAGCAACAAACGCGUUCAGCACUUGUGUCCUUUGGAAAAAGUUCUGUUUUCUUUAUUUGCAGCAUGUUUUUGUUUUGAUUAGUUUCAUGUGUUUUCUUAAGUGUCAGUGUGUUGAGCUCUCAGGGCCACCAUAGAGCUGACAAAGAUUGAUCAUGAUGAAAUGAGACAUUUCAUCAUGAUCAAUCUUUGUUUUUUUUGGGGAGAGAGAACAUUAAGGGAAUGACCCUCACACCUGUCACAACAGUAAACAUAAGAUAAGAUAAGAUAUUCCUUUAUUAGUCCUACAAAGGGAAAUUCACAGGAUUGCAGCAGCAAAGUGGACAGUGCGCACAAGUUACAUGGUAAACAUAGCUACAGAUAAUACAAUUAUAGGUAGCUGGAUUGAUUUUGAUGUGUCAAUUGGCUUUUUUUGUUUUGUUUAGCUACAAGUGUGUUAACCUUGCUAUGAUACAUCUGAUGAAGUGUUUAAAGGAAUGUUAAAAAAUGAAAGCCUACUUUCUAGGAAUUCUCAAAGAAUCUUUGCGCUUUUUCUCAUUUGUUUCCCCAGAUGCACCAAGGAUUGGGCUGAUUACUGGGAAUUUUGAAGAUUGUUCUUUAUCUGCACUGUCACUUCUGGUAAAGAAUAUUUAGCAAUAUCCCUUUAUUGAAGGUGUCUGAUCAUAAUAAUACAGAAAUAAUCUGCAAAAUAACAGUAUUCAUCUAUAUAACCGUGAAUGAGACUUACCAUGAAUUUAUGUUUUUUGCAUUUUAUUUGAAUUAAGGUAUUUAACCUUAAUUUUAGGGGUUUUGUUUGGCAGCCGUAGCUGCCAGUCAUUUGACCUUUUUACAGGUUUUUUUUUUUUUUUUACAGUGUAAUGUACAAGAAGUAACAAGAUUAGAUUUUGGAUAGAGAUCUUCCUCAUACUGGGCAAAAACAUGUUUACUUUGGAAUUGUGUCUUUUGGAGCUUGGACUCCAUUCUGCCGUAGGAUAAACCAGGGGUAGGGAUGAUUCGAACCCUGGCUGCUUCAUAUCCCAUGUGGAAAUGUCCCUGAGCAAGACACCUGGGGCCUCAUUUAUAAACGUUGCGUACGCACAAAAGAAGGCGUACGCUGCUCUCUACGCAAUAAUUGGUAUUUAUAAAAAGUAAACUUGACGGAAAAAUGUGCGGCCCUUCACGCAAGCUUGGACCCAUGCGUACACACAAAAACGGGUGAAAUGAGAACCGUCGGCAAAUGCAAGAAACACGCAAACGUCUGUGAAAGUGUGUAAGACUAGACUGAAAUGCCAAUAUUGCCUCUCAUAAAUAACACGAAAACCCGUUUGAUCGAUCUGCAGCGUAAAACAAACAAAUACAAAUUAACAUAUUUUCAAAAGGAAAAGUGAAAUAUGUUCUGCAAUAAUAUUGGCAUGUUAUGCAAUUCAUCCUCAAAACACAGCUGUUGCUUGUCAGAUGCAAUCAAAUGGACGGUAAUAAAAUUGCUGUGUUGGCCCAGACCCUGUCCCGAUCCCCAAUCAUUGCCGCCAGUCUCAUCAAGAGGGGACAGCUCUGGUGUCCCCUUUCCCCCACCCGUGGCAGACACACUUUGUCGAUUGCGCGCUAAACUCUUUUUUGCAUCCAGUUUGUCAGACCUUUGGCUUAAAUUGCAGAGAGGCAGGCGUUGAUGUGGGAGAGCGGUGGGUUGUGAGGGUUGUUGGUGCUGAGGUAGAUCUGAAUGUCGUCAGCAUAGCAGUGGAAGUCCAGGUUGAAGUGACGAAGGAUCUGACCGAGUGGGAAUAAGUAGAUUAUGAACAGGAGUGGACCUAGUACAGAGCCUUGGGGGACACCUUGUGUAACUGUGGAUGUGGCAGAGGAGUUUUUGUGAAGGGAGAUAAAGUGAGAUCUGUUCGUGAGUGCAGUACCUUCGAUACCGAUGGCUUGCAGUCUGGUGAACAGGAUAGUGUGACUCACGGUGCCGAAGGCUGCACAUAGGUCCAGGAGGAUGAGGAUGUUGAGGGCUCAAUGAGGGUCAAUGAAUGACCUUGAGUAGAACAGCCUUCAGCCUCAGCCCCAUGACUCCUCCCUUGGACUGGAAGAGGUUCAGAAGACUGUAGACUGUAGAGUGUACUCUUGUGAUUCUGUAAAACUCAUCCUGGAUCUGUGAAACAAAUAAUGAAAUCAUCUUUAAAGCAACUAAUAUUACAAGUUUAUAUAUGACAUACAUUCUCUUCACAUUUUAGGUUAAUCUGACUGUACAGCAUGUAAUAUCAUGUUUUGGCAAAUAUUUUACAAGCUUUAAUAUUGGUAUUCACAUAUGCCCUCAAUGAUUGCGGUUAUUAACUAACAAUGUAAUGCAACAAAAACAAUAUUUCUGAAAUGUAAUAGUGAAAAUAUGAUUUUGAAAAUAAUUGACCGUAACAUGACAUAUUUAAGCAAAAAAUGCAAAACAAUUAGCGCAGUCCUUCACAAUGGGUUUUAACUCACGUGAGAAUCCGCAAAUAGAGCUGGCCAUCUGGCUUUGAUGUCCUCUAAUGGCUUUACCUUUUCGGCCAUUUUUUCUUUUAUUACUUUGUCGUUGUUCCUUUUCCUUGCUUCGGUAAGUAACUCAAUCCUCUCUUCUUCUUGACUUUCUUCAUCCUCUCCUGCCGGGUGAGGAGGGAGGUAGUUAACCUGCCUUUCGAGGCUUUUUUAUACCUUUUGCAGACUUCUGGUCUGCAGUGCUCUUGCGUUUUAGUGCAUUGCACAUCACCUCAGGAACACCGUAUCCUCUGAGUUUGGUGUGAUAAUUCGCCAUGCUUUGCUGCCAGCCAUAGUAACCUGAGAAAGAGCCGGGUUCCUUGAGACAAGGAUACUUCCUGAGAAGUGCCUCAGAAACCUCUCUAAUCUGUGCACUUGAUGGAUAAGCUGUAUAUGGAUAUACAGUUUUAGCUAGCUUCUCAAAUACAUCUGCCUUGACCUUUGAGGUAGUUUGAAGUGUUUUCCUGUAGUCUUCAUUGGCUCUUUAAAGACACAUCUCAGUUUCAUAUGCAAACUAUGGAAUGGUUAACUCCUUUUGCCACGGCUGACUUUGUUCUGUGGUACUGUCCAUAGGCAGGAUUUUGGUGUCCUGUGAAGAUGUUCCGGCAGAUGACUGUAUAAGGUGAUAAGUCACUAUCAGUUAACUGUUGACAACAGGGACUGCUCAAACUAUCGUCAACUGAAAGUUGACGACAGUUUAUAAUAAUUGUUUGUUUAUAAUAAUUGGGGCAGCUUGAACAACCUUCAUCGUGUCUUCGUUCUUAAUUUGGUCACUUUGAUGAAUGAGUAAAAUAAUGUCCAAAAUCUGAGGACCUACUUCUCAAUUCGGUUAAGUUAAAUAGCAUUGCUUCUACUUGCCAAGUAGAAGCUUGUGGAUAAGACCAUACACACAGUAAAUGAUGUCAAUGGCCUGUAGUGUACAAUCAAAAUAAAAGGCUAAUUAAAAUAUAAUUAAAAAUUACAAUUCAAAUUAUAUUUUCUUAUCCAGUCUUAAAAUGCAGAAUAAAUAUUUUAACUAUUUAUCAUAACAAUAUAUGUGCAUCUUAUAAUAAUGGUUAUGAGUAGUAUGAAAUGUAAAAAGUACACUAUUGUGGUAUUUCCAGGUAAUAGUAGUGUAAACUACAGAUAUUGUAAGAUGUGAAAGUUUCAAUGAGCUAAAACGAACAACAGAUGUGACAUUUGAGUGUAACCAAGCGUUUUACUCAACACUGUACGCAGCCAAGGGGUACUGUUAAGGGUUUCGGAAGCUCUCGAGGGAGGCCUCACUCCUGGUUCUCGUCCCGGCCGGAAACGAGGACACGAAUGAGUCAAUUCGUUUAAAUUCAAAAAUCAAAAAGUAUUUAAUGACUAAACAACAUAAUAGGGAUUACAAUUACAAAGUGAAAUACUAAGCGAACAGUGGAAUAUUUCGCGAAAUAGAGAAUUCUCUGAGCAAGUCUAAAGUGACUUAUCAACGCGGCUGCAGGAGAAGAUCUAACAGUCUUUCCCCCGCCAUACUCCUUUGAAAACUCUUGAGGUGUGUCUUCUUUGGUGCAUUUGAAUGUCAUUGGCCUCUUCUCCAAAGGGUCACCUCCUCCAUUGUCCCUUCCACGUCGAGGUGUGAAGCUGCAGCUGUAACCUGAAACCUCUCUGUCCUAGCUGUCCCUCACAUUCCAAUGCACUCAAUGCAGAUACAGUGGCUUUAUGCCCCAAUGAGUGAACCCAACAAAGCAUACAUCGUUUAAGUCUUCAUCUUAUAACUAGUACACUUUAACUACAACAACCCAUCAUUAAUGAUCCCCGUUCAUCACCCUUCAUCAUAAGAUCUAAGACAGUUCAUGUGGUUCAAUUCUCAAGACAUUUGCCUCAGUCGGCUGCCUUACAUGAAGUUGUUCAUUUAUUACCUGACAGGAGAAAAAACUCCCAAAAAACCCUCUUUGGGGAAAAAAUUGGAAGAAAUCCAUAAAGAACGGCAAUUGGCAUCCGUCCCCAGGUUUUAACAUCACAUUGUGACAGAAUGUUAAUGUGUACAGUGUUUAUAUGAUUUAAAUUACUAUAAACUGUGUUUUAUUCAAAUUGUAUUCACUUCAUCUAACAUGUUAAUGUAAUACCCAAUAUCUAACAACACACAAACUAUAAUUCUAACACUAAACAUUAUUACACGUACUAUAAAUUCUAUGACUAGGGGUGCACUUCUGGCUUAAAUCCCUAAACAAUAGACAAUGUCGUGAUCCCGUCGCCCACAGCUCCACCAACCUGCCCCAGUCCUCCACCCCUCCCUCCCCCAGCCCAUUAGGGGCUCACGACUGUUAAAUUCAGUUUAUUUGACAGUGAAACACGGUAAAUAUAUGUGUCAGCAGAGGAAGUUAUUUUCAUUUUAUUUUCAUUCAUAUUGUAAUAGUUUAUCACUGUUGAUUGUACUAGAAAUUGUACUCACAACAGAAACGCACCGCAAUAUGGAAAUCAUUCGAUAGUGAUUUUUACAUGAAUUACUACUGAAAAUAUAUUUUGUUAGUGUUAAAUAUACGGACCAUGGUGGUGCCAAUGGAGAUAAAACAUAUCAUACACUCAAAAGCCAGCACUAUAUUGUUUACAGUCAUGCUUUGUAAAGAAACCAGUUUUUCACUGUUAAAUAUAAUAAACCUUUUACUAAAAACAGCAAUACACCGUGAUAUGAACAAAACCAGUAUCAGCCAAAGUACUCCUCUACUUUACGGUGGUUAGCACUGUCACCUCGAAGCAUGAAGAUCCAGGGUUUGAUUCCACCUGAUUCGGUUCUUCCCGCGGUGCAAAAACAUUCUCUGACGAUUAGGUUAAUUGGUGACUCUAAAUGGUUUGAUCUCUGUGUCACCCCUCUUCCACCGUCCACUCAACUAUCUUUCGAAUUCCAUUCUGUAACAGUUACUCACCCGGUACAAUUAACUAUCGUUGCCCUUUACCGUCCGCCAGGCUCCUUGGGUCAUUUCUUGGAAAAACUGGACAUUCUCCUGUCCAAUUUCCCUGAAAGUGGCCCUCCGCUCAUCCUCCUUGGUGACUUCAACAUCCAGACAGAGAAGUCAUCUGACCUCUUACACCUACUUUCCUCUUUCGCUCUGUCACUCAGUCCCUCUCCUCCUACUCACAAAGCCGGCAAUCACCUUGACUACAUCUUCACUAGAAACUGCUCUACCACUAACCUCUCUGUAACUCCACUUCAUGUUUCUGACCACUUCUUCGUCUUAUACUCUCUCCCACUCUCUAUAACUAACUACCCUUUCCCAUUGACUGUACCUGUUUGUCUCAAUGUUCUAUCACAGGGGUCUCAAACUCGUGGGCCAAACGCGGGCCAAAUGCGGCCCUCGGGACGAUAUUUUGUGGCCCCAUCCUUAAUAUGAAAGUGUAAUGUUAGUGCGGCCCGCAAGUUUUAUACUGUAACCCCACUGUCAGCUGCUGUGUGGGACAUGUUAUGAUGUUCUGGUUUCCUACUGUGUGCUUGUCCAGUGAACGUGGCAUGCAUGUGACUGACAUGGGGGGCGGGUCGUGUGUGUCGGCCGAGGUGCAGAGAGCAGGAGGGUGAAAUUCAGUUUCCUGCCCUCUUUCGCGCAGGUGAUCAUGUGACUAACCGUUAGCAUCGCUCGUUUAAUAAAGUUUUCCUUUACGACUCACACUAACAACACAUGAAGCAUCUGACGUCACCGACGAGCGUCUCCGUCCAUUACUACGCAGCUUCGAUUCACGUAACUUCACGUUUGGCUAUAAAGGAAUUCCACGGUCACAUGACCUUAGGUCUCCCCCGCUGAGUUAAAGGAGGACUAGUGUUGUAGUCUCAUUCGGACCGAUCCCCCAGGGUGGGGUUCAAUGACUGCUUUGGAAAGUGAGUGUUAAGUUGUGUUAUUGUCGACCAUGCCGUUCGGACGCUAGUCUGGCCCGCGUUCGGUUGAAGUGGGCUGCAUCUGGCCCGCAGCUGAUUUGAGUUUGAGACCCCUGUUCUAUCAGCUCUCCCUUCUACUGACUGCUUCUCACUCUUGCAUCCGAAUGCUGCUGCAGAGACUCUCCUCUCAACUCUUUCCUCCUCUCUAGACUCUCUCUGUCCCUAAUGGUGAGUGCCAUUAGAGCCACCAUGCGAGCAUCGGAAAGGAGAUGGCGUAAAUAUAAUCAACCUGCCGACCUACUUGAAUUUCAAUCUCUUCUCUCCUCUUUUCUGCUUCUAUCUCUGCUGCCAAAAGCUCUUUUCUACCAAUCCAGAAUUGAAUCUUCAUUUUCUAACCCAAAAAAACUCUUUUCGAUCUUCUCCAACGUCCUCGAACCCCCUAGCCUUCCACCCUUCUUGCAGGUGACUUUGUCAACUACUUUACCAAGAAAAUAGCUGACAUACAUGUACGCUACUCUUUCUCAAACCCACCUCCUACUACUUGCGUCCCACUGACUUCAGCUCUAUCGCCCUCACUUUCCUCUUUCACCCCCCUGUCUCCUAACCAAAUUCUUACCCUAGUAACAUCUGCACGUCCGACCACCUGCCCUCUUGACCCCAUUCCAUCACAUCUUCUACAAUCUAUCGCACCUGAUCUUCUUCCUUUCUUCACCUGUCUCAUCAACAAUGCUCUGUUAUCUGACGUUUUCCCAGUUCCCUGAAGGAGGCAAGAGUUAACCCUCUCCUUAAGAAACCUACCCUCAAUCCUUCGGUAGAAAACAACUACAGACCUGUCUCUCUUCUUCCCUUUUUGUCCAAAACCCUUAAAAACGUGCAAUCUUUAACCAACUCCUCUCCCACCAGUCAGGCUUCAAGGCAGGCCAUUCCACAGAGACUGCUCUCCUUGCUGUCUCAGAGAGAACUCCACACUGCUAGAACUGCCUCUCUCUCCUCUGUCCUCAUCCUCCUGGACCUCUCCGCUGCAUUUGACACAGUCAACCACCAGAUACUUAUUUCCUCCCUUCUCUCGUCCUACCUCGACGGCCGCACCUACCGGGUAACCUGGCGAAGAUCUGUGUUGGAACCUUGUCCUCUUACUACUGGAGAUACUCAGGGUUCCGUCCGGAGUCCCCUCCUCUUCUCGCUCUACACCAACUCUCUCAGCGUUGUUAUUGGCUCGCAUGGCUGCCACAGCUAUGCCGAUGACACCCAACUAACUCUCUCCUUCCCUCACUCGGACACCCAGGUGGCGGCACGGAUCUCUGACUGUCUGACUGACAUCUCUCAGUGGAUGUCCGCCCAUCAUCUGAAAAUCAACCCCAACAAGACUGAACUACUUCUCUUUCCGGGAAAAGAUUCUCCGACCCAGGACUUGACGGUCAACUUUGGCAACUCUGUGCUAACGCCCACUCCGACCGCAAGGAACCUCGGCGUCACACUCGACAGCCAACUUUCCCUGACUCCCAACAUCAUUGGGACAGCACAAUCCUGUAAAUACAGGCUUUACAACAUCAGGAGAAUACGUCCCCUUCUCACUCAGAAGGCAGCCUAGGUACUGAUUCAGGCUCUUGUCAUCUCCCACCUGGACUACUGCAACUCCCUCCUGGCAGGUAUCCCCGCUACCGCCAUUCGACCUCUGCAGCUCAUCCAGAAUGCAGCAGCUCGACUGGCCUUUAACCUUCCAAAAUUCUCCCACACUACUCCACUCCUCCGCUCUCUUCACUGGCUACCGCUGGCUGCCUGCAUCCAGUUCAAAACAUUGGUACUCACGUACCAUGCUGUGAAUGGAUCGGGUCCAGCUUACAUCCAGGACACGGUCAAACCCUACAUCCCGACCCGCACUCUCCGCUCUGCAUCUGCAAAACUGCUCGUCCCUCCCUCACUGAGAGCAAAACACUCGACUAGAUCACGACUCUUUGCUGUCCUUGCUCCGAAAUGGUGGAAUGAGCUCUCUGAAGACCUCAGGACCGCAGAGAGCCUUCACAUCUUCUGCUGCAAACAAAAGACACACCUCUUCAGACUCUACUUCGACUAAAAGACUAACAAAUUGUAGCACUUAAAUUGUACUUGUAACGCCACUCAUCUAUAGCAAAUUGUAAAUUGGCUUAUUUGAGGAAAUUGCACUUUCUUGUUUCUUGUUCUCCUGAGUUUGUAUCCCUAUGGUUGAAUGCACUUAUUGUAAGUCGCUUUGGAUAAAAGCGUAAUGUAAUGAAAUGUAUACUGUAUUUUUUUGCAUUGAAAUUCUGGCAACAUUACUUGAACUUUGUCAUAAGUGUAAAUCUUACAUCUUACUGUGUUUAUCUCUGACAAGGACUGUAAUGAAGGUGACCGUAUAACAGCUGUUUGAAAUGGUAUCAUAUUUCGAUGUAAUUUAUACACCUUUUUAUUUGGAGUAAAUGAACGGUGAAAUUGAUUAAAAAAAUGAUGGAAAAUAUUGAAACACUUCACAAAAAGGUUUCAAACACCCAACACACAAGAUGCUGUCUUUGUUGAUACCAGAUGUAAAAUUCAACAGGCUGAUUAUAGUUUUUUCAUUACAUUUCAUAUUGCAUUACAUCAUGUGGGGUACAAGGAUGGGUUUUAAUAAGCAGAAGUUUGCUUUGUGCUUAGCCCUCUUGGGCCUUCUUCCUCCUACUUGGCUGUCACACUGUGGCAGCUAUAUCAAUGCAUCAACAUUCAAUGGAGAAUGUGCUGCGUGUGGGCGCUGAAGGUCUGUUAUCAGUCUAACUGUCUUCUUUGAGCAUAAGCGAUCGGCCUCACCUCUAGGCCUAAUAUAGACAGUAGGGGAGCAAGGGGGUGGAGGAUUAGAAUGUUGGGGUUUAGAUGAGGAAAGAAGAACAGGCAGGCAGAAGAAAGAAUAGAUGGCAGGGGACAUCAGCUCUGACUCAUCAUAGCCACAGGGGAACAAUAGUCAAUUCAACAGUAGUCACCUGGCUGAUAAGAGUCUUAUAACCUGUAACGAUCCUAUCUUCCUACUUUUGCUGGGCGUCCCCAAUUAAUGCUACUGGGUUUUCUUUCUUCUGGAUGUUAACACAUCGAUUCAUUCACUCACUGUUUCCUGUUUCUUCUGCUCCUUUCAAAUGUGUCAAGCUUUUCUUUAUCUCAGUCUCCACUUUUUGUUGAGGUGCCGAUAAAGAAUCCCAAUUUGUCCGGGGUUAAUACACAUUUUGACCAAUGGAUUUCCAUGAAUUUUCCAUGACAAAAAAAUAAGAAAUCUCAGUGUAUACAUGAAAAAGUGAGAAAAUGUAGUAUUUAAACUAACAAUGAGAAAUCCAAGGCACACACAGUGUUUCCCCUACCAUUCAAUUAGGCCCCAAGAAAGUCUGUUUUUUAUGUUUACAAUUAUCUACUAUGGAUGAGUAUCGUUUGGGUUUUUCCCCAAACGUUACUCAAUACUAGUGUGUGUGUGUAUAUAUAUAUAUAUAUAUAUUAUAUAUAUGACAAGAGACACACGUGGCUUGAAUACACUGGGAAGGUGCAGGUGAUUUGACACAGGUUGAAACAAUCAUGGACACGGCAGACAAUCACAGGGGAUGACAGGACAAGGCAGGAAGUACCAGGGGCCAGGAGUACAAAAUAAAACGAGACGUGAACCCAAACCGUGACAGACCUCCCCCCCCCCCCCGCUCCCCCCGUCAACCGGCAGAAGGCAGACAAGGGCGGGAGGGAGAGGACCAGUAGACGAGGGUCGGGGAGCUGGGACUUGCGGAGUUGCGGGCACGAGUCGUGGAUCGGGAGGUCGCUGCAGCCCAGCGCCGAAGGCGGUGCCCUGCGGCACAGCGGGGUUGGGAGGUUGCUGCGGCCCAGCGGGAUGAAGUUGACCCCGGAGCACCAGAGGCAUGAAACUACAAAAUAAAACAAGGCGUGAACCCAAACCGUGAUAGGUUUAUUUCCAAAAUUGUAACUCAGCCAAUGCAUUGUGACUAUUCGGGCGAACGGUUAACCAAUACUUUCAACCAAAAGCCUAAUUGAACACGAUUGGUCAAUGCUACUUGGACUUAAAAAUUUAAUAUAUUAAAUAUAAAAAUAUAUAAUAUUUUAUUUAUAUAAAUGGUUCUGUUUGCUUCAGUCUGUUGUGUUCAUCGUGAGUGUUGGCAUGUUUGAUUCAUAUGCUGCCAGUCCUUGUUGUCCUGUGCAAAGGAAUACAUGAGCUCACUGCGAACAAGCUGUGAUUGAUACCUUACCUUGUGCUUUACUGGAGUGCUACUUAGUUUUUGUGUAGUUCCUAUUGUGUAUGUGAUCACAUGUAUAUUUGUCUUCAUCUGUCACCUUGAAUUUCUGGCUCAUUGGUAUGAAGUCUGAAAUGAACAGAGUCCAUUAACACCUUUCUCUGUAAAAGGUGAUUUACUGCUGACUCAGGAUCCGAGAAGGAGGAAGUGAUUCUUGAAGGACAGUUCAAUGAUGAUGAGGUCCCCAAUUUGCACUCACCAACCCCUGGAGUAAGGGAUUGUGGGAUUAGCAUCUCAACACCACCCCUGAUCCCUCACAAAGUAAAACUGAACAGUGUGGUGGAAAAUAUGCUGAUCCAAGAAAUCAAGAGGAAACCACUUGGGGGUCAAGGAGAAGAGAAACCCAAAGAGAGAUAAUGGUUGAACUCAACUAUAGUUUUUAUGAGUUCUAUUGAAAAUAAUAGGGUUGAGAGAAGGGAGAAAUGAGUCAUAGGGACCAAACAGAAGACCAAACAGCCAGCAAGAUAGAUGAGUGUAAACAAGAUAACAUGGUGAGCAGAGGAGGUAGAGAGUGCUGUGUAUGACCUGUGUAGGAAAAUAAUCUCACCUUUUAUGAGUUUCUCCAGUGAUACAAGAAGAUAGCUGGGUUCCAAAACAUGUUAGCCUGAAAGAAAUAUUGAGAAAGACAGCAAGAGAAAUAUAAAUAAAUUAUAAAUUAAAUAUUUAACUGCAAAGUAAUAACGCGUGUUUGCUACCCUUUCUUUGCAUUGAAUUAUACUGGGAUGUUCAUGAAACUGAUUGGCUGGCCUUACCAAAAAAAAAAUCCACCAGCCGCCUUUGUCACAUACACACACCACCAUUAAAAGAGACCGCUUAUUACCACUGUUAUUCUCAACAGUUGUGAUUAUUGUUGUCAAACAUGUUGUCAGCGAGCAUUGCACUCUAGGAUUUUUGCAGAUGUCUUCUCAUCAUAGCCAUGAUUUAACACUGCAGGCUUUUGUCAAGAAGUCUAUGGAGUUGUCAAAUAAUGUUGUGAUUUCUGACUAAUAAGAAUGGAUCGGUUCCACAUUGUCCCCGGGACUUUAAGAAUAUGUCUAUAUACAGUUACAGUAAAACGGUUUUCAUCCCAAGCGGUCUUUUUGAUAGUUUGAGUCUCUGAGACCAGGGGGCUACUACACAAAAGUAGAAUAAAGAAAUGCAGGGUAACUGAAAAAGCGCAGCUUGACUUAGUAUGAUCGACUCAUUGCGGCUUAAUCGGUUGCACGUUUGCUGAGCCAGAAUGAGAAGGUGGAGCUAUGCCAACCCAGGUGUACAUAGCUGGGAUAAGUGUGCGUUCACGGCUUUCUUAAAUAGACCACGGUAUCGAUCACAGGUUUACUGAUGCAGAUGGAGAAGACGCACGUGGUAUAUUUGUCCCCCACUGAGCAGCAACUAAUUAUGGAAACUUAUGAGGAGGUGAAGCAUCUAAUAUGCAAAAAAGGAAAUGCAGCUGCUGUUAUUAAACAGAGAGAAAAAGCCUGGCAGACAAUCGCGGACCGACUGAAUGCAGAAGGAUUUAAAAAUAUUGACUUACUAGGAAAGUUGUACACUCAGUUUUAUUGCUUUUAAAAUGCUUGUUUUAUGUGUUGGUUUUAUUCGGCAGUAUCUGGCCCGAACCUGAAAAGCCUUUGAUACCCCUGCUGUAAAGUGUCCCAAAACACCCUCACGUCUCAAUAUCAGUGCUUCUUCAUCCAAAACGUUGUUCCGAAAUGGGCAUUUCAUGGUGCAGGAAGAAACACAGGUGAAUGAGACUUUAUAUAUCGCCCUGAUCACGUUUACAAUUGUUCACUCCUCCCUGCGGACUGCAUUUUUUCCCACCAGCAGACAGAGAGCGUGACUACUAACUGGGGGAACCCCUGCUGAACAAAUUCAAAAGACCACCAAAGAUAAUCUGUGAGGGUGCAGGUUAUAUGCACAAAAAGGCAUAAAACAACUACAAAGACACAUCGAACAAGCACAAAUAUACCUUUUAAAUGAUAGCAAAAAAGACAUGAAACGACUACUUUUCAAAAUUCAAGUCAUGCUAAUCUAACCAUUGGAUGCCAUGCAAUGGAUUUUGUACAUAUUCCACUUAUGAUGAGUUGCAAUUCCUUUGGUGAUUCCUAACUUUUUAUUUUGCCAUUAACUGAUAAUAUAUAUUUGUGAUAUUUUCAUCCUUCCAUCUGCCCUAGCCCUUUUUAUCUACCACCAGUGUGAAUGUGCUGUGGACAACAUGAAGUGAGAUUCUAAAUAUAUAGCUUGAGGACCAAGUAGAAUGCGGGGGUUGUAUUUCUUUCUUCUCAGUGCCUAAAAAGAAAUGAUUACCCUAAAAGCACUUUGUGCAGAGCCUCUAGCUCUUCUUCAAGCCACUGGUUGGGGGAGUGAGAGUUUAUAUGCACAUGAGGACUCCGUUAAUGGUUGCAUUGUCGAUUUAUGAAUAUUAAUUGAGGUUUGACACUAUUAUUGCCCGAAAAUCACGCUGAAAGAUGGCAUCUUUCCCAAAUCUACACAGCUAUAAAAACUUAAAUUAGAGUGCCUCACCAUUUUCUCUAACUGUGAUUUACACACUCUGCCGUGAAGAUGAGGAUCUGAGGAGUAAACCACCUGAUUGAAACAUAAUGGCAUAGGAAAGUUGGACACCGCGUUCGGGGCAGGAGUUUAGGAAGUUACAGACGUCUCUUUCCAAUUUGUCAAAAAAACGUCCAUCAAGGUUUUGUGGAAUAAGACGGAUGUACAGACAACCAAAAAUCUAAAUAGCUCUCUCCCACCAUUGGGUUUAUGAAAACAAUCACUAGUCAAUCAAAACGGUCAAGUUUAGCACUAUAUGGAAUUAGGUGGCAAUUGUCUUAGACGGUAGUCUAGUGCGCGGGCGCAUAUACUGGAGGAUAUGUGGUAGUUGAUGUUAUGCCUGUAAAGUGAGACACACAGUGAUCCAUUAAACCAGCACAGCUAACCAAGAAGCCUCUAUCAAAGCCAUUCAUUUACAGUAUUUGUGAUAUACAGUACUCACAAUCUGGUUAAUUAGCUGAAAUGUGUUAAGGAGUUGGGCCUUCAUUUUUAACAGAUAUAUAAAGCCCAUCUGAGGCAGCCCAACAGGCAUGAAAUGUGAGAGGAAGAGAUUCGAGGGCGAAGAAUGCAGAGGACUCAAAUUACACCUCUCAUCGCGUCGCUACCGAUCACUUUAUAGUGCUGUCACCUCUCCCACCAUACACUAAAAGGGCUUUUAAAACCGUCAUUUAAUCCCAUCUAACAAAUUAGAAUCCCCGUUUUGUCUUUGCUGGGUAAGUAGGGCUUAGCCGUAAUUGAAUGGGUAGCACUGCUCUGCAUAAUUCUUAUGGAAAGAAAAGGGAGGGGGUCGAAGAAGAAACUUUAGUGAAUUGAAAGUGAGCUCACUAAGGAAACCGGCCUUGAGUCCACAAAACAAUGCUUAGAGGAGGGGCCGGGUGGUGGCUGCUUUGUUCCUGCCUGUGCCACCCCUUUGCUGACCUUUCUGAAAUGGACUUUAAUGCAUGAAGUGGAAUUAAUCAUUUGCAGGGACAAGGUCAUGGACAGGGGUGUAACACAGAUGGCUGAGUGGCACUAUUGGAGUGUGUGUCUUUGUAGGUGUGUGUGGGCGUAAUUGUACCUCCCCACCCCUCCCCUCACACAAACGCAUUCAAAUACCUACACAAAUAAAUUUUGCAUUCUUUGUCAAACAAAGGUGCAAACAAGGUGAAUAGACACACCAAUAGCUCUUGCCUUUCAUUGCACUGUUGAGACUAAAGAGUUUCAAAAGGUUACUACAGCAGCUUUGGUUAGCUGAAGAGCUGUUCACAUCCCAAAGUGUUAACAAGCGACUUUAGUGAUGCCUGUGCGACAUUUCAUUGUGCACAUUUACUUAAGUUGUUUAUCAUUUACAUAGUUCAUGUACCUUUUUCAAGCCCAACUGUGAUAGUUUUGCCAUAACCCAACAGAUUUUCGGUUCCAAAAACUGCUGCCACUUCACAAUUAAUAGUAGCAAAAUGGUAGCAAAAGUAAAGUCACCCAAACCCCACCCCCUCCCCCCUGGGAGUGACACAUCCACUCGAGCUCCUGCACUAAAUAUAUGCUCAUUGUCCCGGCCAGACAAAGUCCAGUUUAGCCUUUUUUUCCUGAAUCUUGUUUAAUUGUGCCCGGUUGGUUCGCUACAGCAUACUGUACUUCAACACUGUUGUCGGCCCUCACGUGAGUGUGUGCUGAGCGUGAUAUGUGUGUGGCCGUCAGUGCUUUCUGCAUUUUAAUAUUCAACAGCAGAAGCCAUUUGGCGGAGAGUCUCCUCUGAUCCACCGAAGCAUCGGGAACAGAGACACGAGUAGCAUGUGUAGUGCCGAGACCCACGCCGCUCACUAUGGGCGGGAAAAAGGUGGACGAGACCUGAUGGAGGGCGAGGGCUGUAACACUUCAAAUAAGUAAGGGGUUAUAUGAUCCUCUUGACACACAUUCACACCAGAGUGUCUCUUUUGAGCGGCUGAGUAAGGGAAGGCAAGUCAGGUGAGCGCGAGGGGGACAGGAGAAUGGGUGGGGUGAGAAAGAGAGACAAGGAGCUCAUAAUGAGAACAAAAAAGAAGAGAGGGAGGGAGCCAUAAGUGAUAAAGAAUAAAUCACUGAGCUAAAUGAACAGUGGAAUGAAUGAAAAAUGGGAAAGUGAGAGAAAGUCAGUCAGAUAAAAAGGAAAUAAAAUGUUGAGAGAAUGGAGGGAGGUGUCAGAGGAAAAGAACAGAGAGGCAGAGAAGUGAGUGCUCAGCGUUGUAUGUAAUGGCUGCAUGUUGACCUUACUGCGGUGCUGCAGCGCACCACGCGGGUGUGUGUGUUUGUGAAUGUGUGAGCGUUGGUCUCCUUUUGCAUGCACUUCAUUGUGUGUGCACAUGAUUAUGCAUUGAUGAUAUGGCCGUGCAUUCAUUCAUGUUAGUGUACAUGUGCUAAUACAAAGCAGAGGUCAUGUAGCAAAAGAAGCACAUUCAGUGUGUGUGUGUGUCUGUUUGAAGCUGAAAACCAGCUGUGUAGUGAGUGUGCUGCGCUACUGGAGUAGCGAUCAAUGCCUCGCUCGCUAUCAGAUGUGACAGCCACAACCAAGCGCUAAAAUAGCCAGAGUACGGCUGUUCCGAGUCCCAGUGACAGAGCUCUGCUUACAGUGGCUGACAGCAUCACAUUUCAGCACUGGCUCCAAAGACGCAGAGGAGGAAGGAGGAAGGAGCUGAGAAAGAAAGAAGAAUAAAUGGCCAUAGAAGGGGGAAAAGAGGAUAGAGGGUGGUAGAGUCUGGACGACAAUGCAUUGUAUUUCCAACAUGAUCCUCUUGCAUGACAGGUUAUUAAUGUUAAUGUCAAUUGUAUUUAUAUAGCACUUUUAAAGGCCAAUGGCCAGCCAAAGUGCUUUACAGGAUAAAAAUAAUCAGCAGCAAUAAACAAUGAAAGCAAAAGCAAAACACAGCAAAAAACAGUAAAACGUAAACAAAUAAAAGAUCCAAUACAGGUGACUUAACUCAGCCAAAGGCCAAGGUAAACAAGUGGGUCUUAAGGCGUGUUUUAAAAGUUGGAAGGCUCGUCGCAGACCGCACAGAAAACGGCAAAGCAUUCCACAGUGUGGGAGCCGCUAGUCCGAAGGUUCGAUCUCCUUUCGUUUAAGGAACGACGCUACGAAUCCUUUAAAUGGGGACCAAAUGAGCAGAUUCACGGUUUAGUUGAAGUAAAUGUCGGCUUAAUGCUGCAACAGAAGGUGUAGAUUAUUGUUUGCUGAGCACAAAAUCUGGCUGGAUAAACCAAUACACAUAUUUCAAAGAUACAACCACAAGCUCUUCUUGUCAGGAAAGAUAAGUGCCUCUCUUAAACCCACACGCGCCGUGAUCUAUCUGCCUGCCUGCCUGCCUGCCUGCCUGCCCGCCUGCCUCGGGUGGCGAGCCACGGAACUCGCAGCGAUUCCCCUGCCUGCCUCGGGUGUUGAGCCAUGUGACUCACAGCGUGAUUUGCCUACAUUCCGACGUCGAGCCACAGGACUCACGUCGUGAAUUGUCUUAUUUGUUGGUAACGCUAUACUGGCUCCUGUGAUUGCAUUUGGGUCCUAAUCCUUGUUCUCCCGGUGUUGGGACCCUCUCGUUCCAGUGCUGGCAAGUGUCCGACCGCCAGCUCCAGACAUUCACCUUGGACCGGUCCAAUGUGUUUUGUACAUGGUUUGAUUACUACGAUGAAGGGCUUUAGACUGGGCUACCACAACGCUGAGCAUCAAUCAGCCCAACCACCUGGACUAUGUGACCUUCGUCGAGGAUCUACGGAGGGUUUUUGACCACCCAGUGAACUCCGAGGACGCAGCCCAGCGCCUUCUUCAGCCUACGACACGUCCAAGCGAGUGUGUCAGAGCACUCAAUAGAUUUCAGCAUGGAAACCGGGUGUCGUCCCUGACGCCAUCUUUGUCCAGCUCCCGCCCGGUUAUCUCUCGUCCCAGGAGAGGGAAAGCCGGCGAAGAGCCUGUAUUGUGGCUGCCGGGGACAUUCAGGCGCCUUCCUCCUUCCCUAAUCCUUACAAGGUCAAUUAUCAAUACUUUAUCACAUGUACCUUUUUUGCAAGGAUCAUUGUUUUAUAACUCCACUAACUAAAUAUAGGGUGGCAAGGUGGCGUGGUGGUUAGCACUAUCGCCUCACAGCAAGAAGGUCCUGGAUUCGCUGUUUGUCUCGGUUAGCCCUGCGAUUGGCUGGCGACCAGUCCAGGCUGUACCCCGUCCCUCGCGCAAAGUUGGCUGGGAUAGACCCCGCGACCCUGUGUGCAGGAUAAGCGGUUUGAGGAUGGAUAGCUAAAUAUAUUGUUAAUACCAGCUUUCUAUAUUGCAUUGUUCUCACAGAUGUGAUUAUGAAUCCAGCAAUAGAAAGAAAUAAUACUUGUAUCUUAUGAUACACUAUUUUAGAAUGUUUAAUGAUUAAUGUUAAGUUUUAUGGCAAUUUAUACUUGUUUAUAACUAGAUAAUGAGAGAGCGAUGAUAGAUAAGUCAAUUUAGAACAGAGAGGACCACGGUAUUCGCUAUUACUUUCUAUCAUCACAGCUUUUGACCUUAACAUAUUGAUCCUAGAUGUUCUCAUGGAUGCUCCAGUGGUUUUGAUCAGAUCUCCAAAAGGAGAGCUCAAAAGCAAAACAGAGCAGGUGCACUCUGGAUCUUGUUUCUUGCCUUUUAUUACUCCCAUACAUCCGGAUCCUUCAGGGCGCCAAAUGCAGAAAAAAAGCAGCAUCCUCUUCUUUCUGUCCUGGUCGGCUGACUUUGCUUCACUCGCUGUCACUUUUGUUAAUGCACCAUCAUGGCGGCACUUUCUACCACACCCAUAUCAGUAAUCCAAUAUAAAUGUACUUGAUUUAUAAUACUAAUCAAAAGUACUGCUGCAAAACCAAGUAGUCUUGUAUACAAGUCUAAUGAGAAAAUAACCAUACUGUCUCUUGAUUUAUUCCCCCAGUAAACAUUGUAUUGCGUUAAUCAUUUCUCCAGUUUCAAAGCUACUUUAAUACAGCAUGAUGUUCAUGUAGUACAUUAAAGUCAAAUUAUAGUCAAACAGACCUUAGACCUGUGUAAGGUAAGAGCUAUCCUCAGCAUUCCAAAUACGGAACCUUUGGUACAUUGCGGCCCACAGGGCAGUGGACGUAAUGGCCGAGGCUUUCACAUACCAAUGGAUGAUGUCACGUAGACAGUGUCCAAUUCUUAAAGUCUAUGGAAUUAACGUAGGAUUCCUUUCUUACAUGUGUUUGGCAUAUGAGAUGAUUUAAAAAUAAUGAACACUGCUAUGAUGUAUUUUGUGUUUACUGGGACAAACAUAACUAAAAGGUUAAAUAUGUUAACUGUUAAUAAUGUUAUAUGGUUAAAUUAUUAAAUAAAAAAUAGAACGCUAUAAAACAAUGCUUGGUGCCUUUUUACAGGUUAAUUUGGCUAUGAAUUAGGGCAGCAGUAAGAGGACACACUGAAUAUGAUUGGUGUCUUAUAAGUAUAGUGCGUUCGGUUUGAUAAAUAAAUAAAAAUGAAAAAAAACACAAUUAACUUUAGGGCAAAUGGUGAGAUUUGUCCCUUUUUUGAAGAGCUGCACUCAGGCUCAGUUAAUACCCAAGUCCUGGUCCCUUCCAGAGUACUGUAUCCCUCUCUCAACAGUCCUUCAAGGUUAUCUAUAAUGAAUAAGGUGUGUGAGACAGACACCGCACAUAUUAAUAAAGCUUUACCUCCCGCACGUGAAGGGGAAGGAAAAAACAAUGCUUUGUGUGUGACUGUGGUUUAUUUGUCUUUUUAUUCACAAAGGUGCCAGGAAUUAAUUGAUAAAUGCUAAAACCAUAAAUGAAGAUUCACUGGGAAACUUUCACCUCCAGCCAUUCACUGCUUUGUUCUGGUGUCUCAGGAGUGUGGACGAGGAGGACAAUGCGUGCCCCUCCACAGACACAAGUCCAGGAAUAGGUCAAAGGUUUCGUAAUGAAUGUCCUCUUCCUCCUCCGCUGAUACUGUCAAGUGGCCGGCCCAAACCAUUAUGGCCAUGGGAAAAAAUACGGAUCAUUCACUGUAAUCCGGCCAGUGUGCAUGUGUUUGUGCGUGUUGCAGCUAGAACGCUCCUGCCACUGGGCAUCAUUUUGAAGACACAGAAAGUCAGGGGAAACCAAUGAUGCACUAACUGUACACUAACAAACACAUACAGACACAUGCAGGAGAGUGGGAACCUGCAAUAUAUGCAUGUUUGGGUGCAAGACAGUGUCUGAGAGUGUUUUGGAGCUUUGAGCUCAUAAAUCAUCCCGAGAGAGAGAAUAUAGACUAUAUAGAAUAUAGAGGGUUUUUUUUUCCAAACAUCCCUGUAUUCUACUUUUCCCCUUCAUAUGUUUCCUUCCCUUCCCCCUCCCAUGCCUUUACUUGUCCUCUAACCCGCCUCUACUCUUCCUCUCCCUUCUCUCAUUGUCUUUUCUCCAACCCUUUCCCGCUCUCUCUGCCUGUAGUACAACAGAGCUCCAAUCCAUCUCAACACAGAACUUGCAAUCUCUUACAUCCGGAUUUAAGCUCCCCACCCCCCUAACAAUACGCUCCUUCAGUUACCUGCACAGCCUUCCUUCCCGUCCUCCAUCACUACAGCUUGGCUCUGCCCAUAUUCCUCUCCACCCUUCCCUCUCCCAAUAUCCAUUAAUCUCCUUACCCUGCCCGCUCACAUCCAUCUCCUACUGGAGUCAGGAAGCACUGGAGCCUACAUCUGACCAAAUAUGGGUAGUAUGAAAACACACUUGAACUAAGAUGUUCUUAUGCCAAUUUCCGAUUUGGUUACUUACAUUAAGGCAAUUAUCUCCAAGAUUGCUGAAAUGUUAGGUUUUAUCAUGCAAAUUAGGCAUUAUUAUCUCAGAUUAGCGCUCAUUUACACACAGAAAUCUGAUCAUUAGAUAAAGCCAAUUAAGAUAAUUGAGGCAUUAUCUAACGGAAACAUUUUGUAAAAUUAGGAGAAAUAUACUGAAUAUGAAAAGACAAAGAUUACCUAGAUGUAGAUUAUCUUCCACUGGUCUUAAAUAAAAGAGACUUCUGUCCCAUAAGUAAAAUAACUUUAUUAAGUCACUGACGGCACACGCUAAAAUUGUAGACUCGAGUAGCCCAAGCAGAUUAACACAUUAAAUGCAUGCACGUAAAGAAAGGCACGUUUACCUUAACAGAGCUGCGGAGAGACAGUUUUUCACCAUCUCCGGAGCCGGGGGAUUCCAUCUUGAGUGAUUUACUAAUUUCAGGACCUUGAAUAAAAUGUUGGUUAUAAAUCAAAGCUGCCAGUGCUAAAAUACACAGAUUCAUCACAGGUUAAGUUUAAUUAAGGGCUAUUUCCCUUUUCCCACACAAAUGUGCAGAGACUCAGUGAUGCUUAUUCAGGAAUAUGCUGCCUCUCCCACUGUCUCUCCUCUUGAGAACAUGUGAUUUAAGUGCCAUUUUCACAACACAACUUUUUUGCCUUGAAUUGUGUUACCACUGAAGGACCUGGACAUAACCGGUGAGAAUGGAAACCAUUAGUUCAUUACCAUGAAUUAGCUUUAAUUUAGGGCUCGGCAUGCAUUUCUCGGCAUGCAACGUGUUAAAAAUGCGUUAACAUAGCAAUCCAUUGACGCCGACAAUGAUUUUAUCAUAUUUUAACAGCAUUUAUAUUUGAGCUUUGGGAGGGGCUUAACACUGCUACAGACAUGAACUGAGAAAAUGAAACAGCACUUUUAAAUGGACAUUUUAUUAGAAAUUACUACUAUACGGCGUAGGUGAUAAAAGCAAAGCUAUUUGUACCGGAAGUAUAUUGUCGGAGUACUACGAGCCAGAAGUACCACUUAAAGCAGGGGUGUCAAACUAAUUUUAGGUAGGUGGCCACAUACUGUCCACUUUGAUCUCACGCGGGCUGGAACAGUCAAAUCAUCGCGGUGCGGAUGAUCAGUUGACGGGGGACUAUCGUUGAUCCCCCUGCUCCUACGCAUGCGCUCACUCACACGGUGCGACCCCGAAUAGACUUUUCUGAAAUAGCAGCCGGAUCCGGCCCGCGGGCCGUAUGUUUGACACUCAAGCAUUACACAGCAUUGAUGUCAGCCCACAAACAACUAGUGGAGCGAGACAUCCACAAAUUACGUUGGUUGAGGCUCGCGGGGGAACCGUUAACAAACCAACUCAAGAAGAAUGAAGCGUCCUUAGAAUCGCAAUAAAUGAGGUGUGUAAGAGCCGCCCACAACAUGCAAGGAGUAAGGAGAAUACACAAGUUGUAUGAAACAGAGUGACAGAGUUACAACGUGCACUAACUGUGUCUCUCAAUGACAACAUGCAGACUCACACAACAGUCUUAAGUACAACAUCUGCACCCUGUGAAAGGUGUUUUUUUAUUUCUGGCCAUAUUGUAGAAAAGAAGUUCUUUGUUAUUCAAAAACAUGAAUUAGCUGGCUUGAUGCAGAGGAGUUAAAAAAUAUAAAGUUGCAGGAAUGGAUAAAAUAAGUGGAUGUUAAAUGUUAGUGUAAAGCUAAUUUUAAUAUUGGGUAACUGCACCUGCAUCCGUGCAAGGUUGUUUUUUUUCUUCGAUUCAAAUUAUAUACUGUAUGUUAACUUGCUAGUGCCCCAAGAGUACUUUAAAAUAAAAGCGCGCAAUACACUAGUUUUUAGUGUUUUGUUAAUUUUUGUGCAUAAUGCAAUUAAAUUGUAUCAUUCAGCUCAUUUGUUUAUUCAUUAUUACAAUUGUUGUUAAGUUUAAAGCUUCAGGAAUCUAUUAAAUUGUAUCUUAGAAACCCAGUUAGCAACAAAUUACUAAAUUUAGUGAAACAUUCAAUAAAGAGCCCGAUUAUUUGAAGUUACUGAAGGUGAAAAAGUUCAAAUGAACGUACAUAUUGUCUUACAUUGAUUUAAAUACACAAUUGUCCGUGUGCAUGUAAACUUUAUUAAGCCAAAAAAUGUCAAACGCAUGUGGGAUGUUCAGUUUAGAGGAUAGGUGUCAUACUUACCUCCGACCCACCGGGGAGUCCAGUGCGGACCGCCAGAUUACUUUUUCAGAAAUACAUAAAUUGCAUUUCUACAAGUAGCUGCUAUUCCUAAUCAGGCCACUGGGUGUCACACUCUGAUUAAGCGCAUGCGUAGACCAGGGAGACCAGGUUGAUGGCAACUUAAAGAGCUUGUAACACCGUAUUGCCCUAGAAGGCAGCUGCGCUUCAUAGAUGCUGGGUUAAUUGUGGUUCCUAGAGUUUAAGAAAACAAGUAGCCAGAGCUUUUAGUUACCAAGUUCCUCUUUUGUGGAUCCCGCUUCCACUUUCAGUCCGGGGGGGGGGUCAGAUUCGGUCAGCUCAUUUAAGAUGAAGCUAAAACUUUCCUCUUUGAUUUUGAUACCGCUUAUAGUUAGGGCUGGAUCAGGUUAACCUGGUUCUAUCUGAUGGUGGUUGUCCCUGCAGUGGUCCUGCCGUACACUUAGCUUACCACUCGCAAUUGAAUGAUUUCUGUCAUAGGAAUUGAAUGUAUUGUACAUCUUUCACAUUGUUCAUUCUGACACAUGAGAUCCAUUGUAGUCUGUCCAUCCCGGGAAAGGGAUCCCUCCUCUAACGUUCUUCCUAAGGUGUCUUUUUUUUGAGUUUUCCCUUUGCCGAUGUGAGGGUUUCAGGUCAGAGGAUGUGGCAUGUUUAGAGAGUGCAAAGCCCUCUAAAAUUUGGGAUUUGGGAUUUUGGCCUAUACAAAAAAAAAUUAUUGAAUUGAAUGAAGCUGGGGAAACAUGUCUAUGCCUCUCGGCCCGUCAGCACCGGUUCCUCCCAUGGUUGCGUUCUUUCCCCUAUGCUCUUCUCCCUGCACACAGUUGCCCCUCCAGUCACCAGUCCAUCAAGCUCCUCAAGUUUGCGGAUGACACCACCCUCAUUGGAGUUUUUGCUAGUGGGAAAGAGUCCACCUACAGGUCGGUGCCAGGACCUCACACAAACACAACACAAACAACAACUACAAAAGUAGUCAGGCUCAUUCAUCAACAGUGGUCGCCCAAUGACUGACUCUGUCAUCACGAUUUCCUACCGGUCACUCCUCUGCACAUCCAUUCAUACUUUAUAUUUAAAUACACUUGACGCUUUCACAUACACUCACAGUAAACUUGUGUACUUCUGUGCAAUUUAUUUUUGUAUUGUAUAAUGAUGUGCACCACCCACCAUGACAAAUCCCUUGUAUGUGCAACCUACAAUAAGAAUGAAAGAACGUGACCGGUGGAAUGUCAGAGUCAGUCAGUGGGGGACCGGGCUCUGUUGAUGAGCCCGACUGCCGACGGGAAGAAAUUGUUGGUGUGGCGGGAGGUCUUACUCCUGAUGGACCUCAGCCUCCUGCCAGAUGGAAAGGGGCACAAAUAGGUUUUGUCCGGGGUGAGAGGCGUCGGCUGCGAUCUCUUUGGCUCGCUUCAGGGUCCUAGAAGCGAACAAGUCCUGCAGGGAUGGCAGAUUGCAGCCAAUCACCCUCUCUGCAGAGCCGAUGACACACUGCAGCCUGCCCUUGUCCUUGGCUGUGGCUGCAGCGUACCAGCGACGGUGAUGGAGGAGCAGAGGAUGGACUCGAUGAUGGCCGUGUAGAAGUGGACCAUCAUCGUCUUUGGCAGGUUGAAUUUCUUCAGCUGCCUCAGGAAGAACAUCCUCUGCUGAGCCUUCUUGGUGAUGGAGCUGAUGUUCAGCUCCCACUUGAGGUCCUGGGUGAUUAUGGACCCCAGGAAACGGAAGGAAUCCACAAUAGUGACGCAAACUUCAGGAGCUUGACGGACUGGUGACUGGAGGUGCAGCUGUUGGUGUACAGGGAGAAGAGCAGAGGGGAGGGAACGCAGCCUUUGGGGGAACCGGUGCUGAUGGUCCGUGAGGCUAAGACAUGUUUCCCCAGCUUCACGUUCUGCUUCCUAUCGGACAGGAAGUCAGUAAUCCACUUGCAGGUGGAGUCGGGCAGUAUUGAGGGAACAUCAUGUUCAAGGAUUCUAGAGCUGAGAGAAGAAAGGCCUGUGGGAUAGGGCUCAGAGAGCAUUGAAACAGUUCCAUUGUGGAUUAGAUUAGGGCAGCAGAAAUGCUUGCCUGAGGGUGAUAUUGUUGGGUAUGAGGCAAGUAUGUCCUGUCUACUAUUUGUGUCAAUUUGUUUCGAAAGGCUUAAUGUGAAAUUACAACGUUAAAGAGAUAUUACAGCAUAUCACAGCAAAUACUCAAAAAAAGGCACAACAAACCAAAUAAUCCGUAACAUGGAAUUUAAAAUCGUUGAAAAAUUGCCAAAUGUUGUGAUUUAGUAACAAGUAACAAGGCUUCUAAAAAAAUAAAUGAAAGCAGGCGUCACAUUUGUUCCUGGCGACUGGGGCUACUUUCUGUGCCCUCGCCCUCUCAUGCUCAGUUUGUUGCAAAAGACACCAAUACGCCCUGAUGGACUGUACUCUUCUGCGAGCCCUAAUUCACAGAGAAAGCGAUAACCUGGCGGAGCACCGGCUGAGCAAAGGAGAAUGAAUGAACAGAUACGUACAAGGUGGGAGCGAGGCAGCAUGUUAACACAAGUGGUGCUACCGCGAGCCGCAGCUGAUCUCUCCCAGCCCUCAACAUGCUCAGCUCCAUCGACUCUCCUUCACAACGCCCCCUCCUCAAUCCCUCCCACCUUUGACUUCACGCUCUCUCCAUCUCUCACCGUUUCUCCCCUCUCUCACCACCGCUUUGUUUGAGUGCUUUGCAUUGCUCAGCUCCCUACAAAUAUUGCACCGCUUGGCAUUCUUGCUCUUUCCUUCUCAAACGGUUUCAUCCCCUAACUCCCCCUCCUCUGUUUCCCCACUCUGUCGCUCUAUAUCCUCCGGCCAUCUCUUUGUCUCUUUCCUCUCUGUCCUCAAGUGGCCAGGAAAAUGAUUAUGCGAAGCAGGACCGAGAUCCAUCAAUGUGUCACCGGCUUGUUCCCUGAGUCCGCUCAGAGUCCCCACACCACCACCACCUCUUCCACUUGUCGCCCCCCACCCCUCCUCCCUAGCCCACCGACUAGCAGUGCAUGAGCAUGGCGGUGAAUAACAGCGAGAGGCCCGCGUUGACUGACAUAAAGGAUAAUUGAAACUUGCCUUGAUUUAACAUUGUUCUCAUUGGUGGUUGUCUCACUGUAAUACAACCGCGCAUCUGAGAUUGAGCAAGGAUGGGCCAGCCAGAAACUGUCACAUGACCUUGGCACUGAAACAAAGGGCAAGUUAAUUCUAUUCUCAGCCUAAGGAGGAAGUCCAUGUGGACGCAAGAAAAAAAAACAGUUUGGCCCAAAGCCAUGGGCCUCGCCUUUUCAAACCAUAUUUCUACUGUGUAUUUGUGUGUGUGAAGGAAGGGAGAUCCCCUCUACCAUUUUGAGUGAUGGCUUAGUGAAAACCCAGCGUGCCGUGACACAAGUAACUCAUUGUCAACAUUUCUCUCUCUCUCUCUCUCUCUCUCACACAGACACCGACACACACGUCGGAAGACUGGAUUUUUAUUGAAAAAAAAUAAAAAUGCGAUGACGUUUUUUUCAGCGUUACAUGAGACAAGUUUAAAUUUAGAUGUGUCCAUCGAUCUGCAGCUGACACACUACACUGGGGCUUUCUGAAGCCCAUAACUCUGCCUGUCCCACAGAGAUCCAAAUCCCGAAAGCACUAAUUCAUGUGGCCGGUGGACGGCACACAGCACGACAAAAACAAGCUAUUUCUGAAUGCUUCGAUUUAGCUAGUAGUGCAUUUGAUACACUCAUAACAUUAUCAAAAGUGAGGUAUUAUUAUUAUAUAUAUUGAGCAAAAUGUACUUCAAGUAUCCAAAGUAGUAGUUAUGCCGCACUUAAACCUUAAAUCACAUUGCUUUAUUUUUCAACUUUCUUCACUGACGCUUAAACAGUGUUUAAAUAUAUUAGCAAGAUGGCAACCUCUGAGUGAAGUGAAGAGAAGUCUAUGUGGAAGUGCCUUAAGGUUACAUUAUCUCUAAUCUCCAACUAGGUGGGGGUGGGGGGCAAGGGAGGGGGGCGCUGAUUCUAGAGUCUAGCAGGCCCAGCAGGUUGAUCCAGACUCCCUCCCCACCCCAAAACAUUGUAACAAGCUGGUCCACUGUUCCACGACUAGGACGUAAUAUGCAAUGUUUCUCUUGAAUCGAGGGUCGAGAAACGUUCAGAUCGUCCUCUCCAGUACGCUAUCGUAAGCUUUUUCCAGAAGGUUGCGUAGUGUGAUACCCCGAUAGUUUAAGCACACCUCCCACAACUCCCACCCCAGCAGCCAGUCCAUUGGCAUUGUUCUCAACUCCCAUGUGGUAUUGAAAAGGUGUGUCAGCCCAACAAUGUCCAGCACCUUCAGCAACUCAGGGCCAAUCUUGUCCACCCUCCGGUGUCUUGCCACCAUGGAGCUUUUUGACUACCGUAGAAACUUUUAUCCGGGACAUGGACACGAUAAUAUUACUAUAAAUCAACACAAAGAUUCUAUUCUGACACAACUAAAGUAACAGCUUUCAAUAUGCAUGCCCUGAGGGAACACACUUAAUUGAAAAUCCAUACAGAACAUUCCGUCCCCUUUACUUUUAAUUCCCCAAGUAAAAAAAAAAGAUUCACCGUGUUAAUUAUUCUUUUCUAACAGUCUUAAACGUUAAAUAAACAUUUAUUUACUUUUUAAUAUAAUAUUCCCUGUUAAAGUUACAAAAUAACCUUUAACAAAUGAACAAAAUAACAUUUCCCUGAACAAGGGAAAGAGACUAGACUGCCUCAAUUCCCUGACUUUGGAAUGUAUACUGCCCUAGUGUGUCUCUAGAUAACAUGUUCAAUCUGUCAGGGUGUCGCCGUUCUCCUGUGGGGUAAUGACGACAUAUGGGUAAGUCUACAGUACCUGAGUGGUGAUGGUGUAUACCCAGACUGGGGUGCAUCAGUACCCUGAGUAGGCACACCCACUUGGAUCCAAGAUGGCGCCAAUGAUGGCUGCCACGGUGCUUCGGUGUGCUUCGUUUUUUGUUGUUAAUUGUACUUCCUGUUGCGAUUCCCGGAGCUCUUUCACCAGAGAUGAGCUCUUGAACAUGCGAGGAACAACACCAGCGGAGUUACUUUACCAACUUUUCUUCUUUCUCCUGUGGAGUUACUGGACAUACUAGUCAAACGUGCACUUACCUUUCAUUACGCGGUGAGACACCGUAGGAGAGGAAAACGGGCCGGCUCGUUAGUGCGACUUCGCAAGCGUGGUUCUCGCACACCACUGCCAGGCAUCUUUCUCUCCAACAUGCGCUCACUGUGCAACAAACUGGACGAAAUUCAGCUGCUGGUGAGGAGGGACAGAGACAGAGACUUUUAUACAUCCCCCUGUGAGUUUGCUUCCUUAAUCCUGGUCGGCGUUUAUAUGCCGCCCGUGAGCAACGUGCACGAGGCACAGCGGACACUUGCCGACGAGAUACGGCGUGUGGAGCGGACCAACCCGGACUCCUUAGUUAUUGUCCUUGGGGACUUUAACAAAGGAAAUCUCACCCAUGAACUUCCUAAGUACAAAACAGUUUAUUAAAUGCCCCACCAGAGAGGAGAACACGCUGGAUCACUGUUACACCACAGUAAGAAGGGCUUAUCACGCCGUCCCUCGUGCUGCACUGGGACACUCUGACCACGUCAUGGUCCACUUGAUUCUUGCAUACAGGCAGAAACUAAAGCUCUGCAAACCUGUGGUGAGGGAAUUCAAGAAGUGGACCAGUGAGGCGCUGGAGGAUCUUCAGGCGUGCUUUGACUGCACAGACUGGGAUGUUUUCAGGACUGCUACUGACAGUCCGGAUGAGUUCACAGAGGCUGUAACUUCUUACAUUGGCUUCUGUGAGGACAGAAAGAAAGAAAGAAAACUACGUCUGCAGAAAGAUCAAGCAUUUAGAAGUGAGGACAAAGACCUGUACACAAAGUCAAAAUACAAGUUUAGCAAGGCGGUGAGAGAUGCUAAAUGACUGUACUCUGAGAAACUCCAACAGUUCUCAGCAAGUGACUCUGCUUCUUUUGGAGAGGCCUUAAACACCUCACAAACUACAAGACAAAAAAACCCCACUCCAUGAAUGACCUCCGGCUCGCAGACGAGCUGAAAUGAGUUUUACUGCAGAUUUAAUAGACAAUGUCCUGUCUCCAUCCCCACAGCUCCACCAUCCUGCCCCAGUCCCCCUCUCACUGUCCUCUUCAACACCUCCUUGGAGACAUGCCACGUACCAGCCUGCUUCAAGGCCUCUAUCAUCAUCCCUAUUCCCAAGAAGCCCAGGAUCACAGGACUCCAUGACUACAGGCCCGUCGCCCUGACCUCUGUCUUUUGAACGACUAGUCCUGUCCCACCUGAAGACUCUCACUGACCCCCUCCUGGACCCUCUGCAGUUUGUCUACAGAGCCAACAGGUCUGUAAAUAAUGCUUUCAACAUGGCCCUCCACCACAUCCUCCAGUCUCUGGACUCCCCAGGAACCUACGCCAGGAUCCUGUUUGUGGACUUCAGCUCUGCUUUCAACACGAUCAUCCUGUCUCUGCUGCAGGACAAACUCUCCCAGCUGCACGUGCCCGACUCCACCUGCGUGGAUCACUGACUUUCUGUCCGAUAGGAAGCAGCAUGUGAAGCUGGGGAAACAUGUCUCAGUCUCCCGGACCAUCAGCACCGGUUCCCCCCAAGGCUGUGUUAUUUCCCCUCUGCUCUUCUUCCUGUACACAAACAGCUGUACCUCCAGUCACCAGUCCAUCAAGCUCCUGAAGUUUACGGAUGACACCACCCUCAUUUGACUGAUCUCUGGUGGGUCCGCCUACAGGUGGGAGUCUGACCAUCUGGUGUUCUGGUGCAGCCAGAACAACCUGGAGCUCAAGCCCUAAAGACAGUGGAGAUGGUGGUGGAUUUCAGGAAGAACAGAGUCCCACCCGCCCCAAUCACCCCAAGUGACUCCCAGUGUAUUGUUGCUCUCAUUACAGUUUCACUGCAUAAUUCACAUGAGUGAUUAGAUGCUAUGACUGCAGUACUUGUUUUCAUAACAUGUUUGUUGGGAGUUCUUCAGUUUUGGAAGCCAUCAGUAUGGUGGCAAAUCGCUGUGCAAAUUUGAGAGCACAAAUCAGGUUGAUGCGCGCGCGUAAAUCAAACACCCGCAAGCAAAUAUACGUUCCGCAGGAGCAAAUGUCCGUCUCGUGAGUUUUGACAGUGAUUUGCCGCCAUACUGAUGGCUUCCAGUCUCCCUGUAACUGUAUGGGUUUUCUCCGGGUACUCUGGCUUCCUCCCACAGUCCAAAGACAUACUCUGGGCAUUAUGUCAAUUGGGGACUCCAAAUUGCCCUUUUGGCAAGUAGAUGUGAGUGCGAGAGGUCGUGUGUCUGGUGUCAGCCUUGCAAUUGACUGGCGACCACUGGUACCCCGUCUCUCGCCCGAUAUUAGUGAGGAUUGACUCCAGUCCGCUUGCAGCCCUGUAUGAAGGAUAAUUGUCUUGAAGAUGACCUGCCGUCCCUUUGGGCUCUGGGUAGUUGACUUUGCGGACCGACUGACUGGUAGGGGGGAGAGGAAGGGGGUAGUCGCGCUCGUGUACGAAAGUGCCGUGAAGUGGACAAUUGAAAACAUGAAAAAAAACGCUUGGUGAAGUUUGGCAAGUAUGUCAAGAGAAACGAGCAAACUAAUUAGGAAAUUCAAUUUUCAAAAUAUAUAAGUCAUAUAAGUCAAAUGACAAUACAAAAAAAAAAUCUUUCUGUGGUGCGCCAUGGUACCAAAUGCGUAGUACUACCGGUGCAAGUCUGCGGCCCGGUGGUUGCGGACCUCUGCUCUAAGAUACAGACUACUGGCCACUUAAAGUUCCUGUUGCAGUACAAGUCCUUUGUGAAAAGCACUGUAGACUGAUCACAAUUUUACUUGAGAGCAGCGGCAGUUUGGACUGUGCAUUCCCAGUUUACCAAGCCCGAACUUUUAUGGCAUGUUCAUGAAAGAGACAAUAACCAUUAAACUGAUAUGGGAACAGACGAGUGACUUUCCACAUAAUAUAUCAGACAUAAAAAGACAUGCGUGUCUUUUUCAAAUGAGUGUGCUGCCGGGAAGAAAGUCAAUUGAAUUGAAACGCUAUACUUUGAAAAGAGCAUAGCUACCUUGUAGUUCACUUUCCUGCCAGAAAGGGCUGUCUGAAAGCAAAUUAAAGGGGAGAGGUUCAAAUGGGGUGGGAGGGUCUCUGGUAAAUAUCUGGAAACUUUCCACAGGAGCAUAUAUUUUCCUUUUAUUUUAGAACAUUUUAGAAAUUCAUCGGUGACACAAUGGCUGCUAAGGAAAAGAUGAGCUAGAUCAAUUAGUUAAUUUGCUAAAUGAACCACUACUUAAUCAAUUGAGUUGACUAUUGACAUCUGAGAGCAUCCUCUUGCUCAGGUUCCGGUUCAUCAUUGCGGACACUCAGCCCCGUUUAGGUCCCCUUGUUCCCGAAGUGCCCAGGCACGGUUGCUGUCCAGCAGAAUUGAGUUUUGUGGCCAAAUUGACAUUUUUUUAUUAGAUUGAAAAACCUCUGCUGUGAAGCAUUAUCCAAAGUCAUGUGUUGAACCUUCGUCUUUGGCACAUCUGAUGUUCCUCUGUAUUAUGUGGUUGCUUCCUCGUCCUCGGCCUUCUGGCCCCUCUCCUUUUGUUUCACAUUUUUCAAUCCUGCCGCCGGCUCGUAUAUGAGAGCUCUCUGUCUUUCUCCGAGAUUAAAAAAGCUGUUGCAGGAUCUUUACACUGUAUCCAUUGCUUUUCCCCUGCCACCAGGGAAUGCAGAGAAAAAAUUCAUCUCUGAGGCCAUUUCAGACGCCGGCUAAAGUAAUGGUCCCCUGGGAACUUUAACUGCAUCAUGGGGUGGGGGGAAUUGGGGAGGAAAAAAACAGAAAGUGGACAUAUUUAGGUAUUAGCGGUUUGCAGUUUGUCUCCGAUGGGGCCGCUCGUGACAGAAUUCUUUUACCUAUAACACCUCCCUAUUAUUACUACACGCAUACAUACGUACAUACACAUGCAGCACUGCAGGUAUGACUGGAUACGUCACGACCGGACAAUGGCCCUGAACCCAAACUCACGACUCGUUAGACAAAGUUACGAAAGAAAUCAAAGUUUAUUAACAACAGGGCAAGUGCCUCGAGGAAAACACUAUGUACUAAAUCUAAGAACACAAACGUGGUAAAGCUAUGGAUGCACAAGACGAACUGGCAUAGGGCAAAGUGAGACGCAGACAAUAUAUUACACACAGGGUAGGGGCACAGGUGGAAACAAACAGGUGGGCUUUACAGUCUGUACACAUACGACAUCCUCUCUCCCGAAACCCACACAUCGGCACAGGAAAAACUCCCCAAAAAAUGAAAAAAAACCUUCCAAGAGGGAAAGAAAAGGGAAGAAACCUUAGGGAGAACGUCACAGGAGGAAUCCAUCUCCCGGGAUGGACAGACUACAAUGGAUGCCAUGUGUACAGAAUGAACAAUGUAUAAUACAUGCAAUUCCUAUGACAGAAAUUAUUAAAGUAAUUGUGAGUAGCAAGCCAGGCGCACAGCAGGACCACUGCAGGGACAACCACCAUCAGAUAGAACCACCAUCCACAGAAGCCUGUGGGGAGGGAAAGCACUAAGACUUUAGGAUAGGGUAAUGUGGGUUUAUCAUUACAGUAAUAUGAUUAAUACUUAAAAUAAUAAUGAUGAUGAUGGCAGCAGCAGGUGUCAGGACCAGGGUCCAGAAGGAACUACGAUCUACGGAGACCUGCUAGGGGAGAAAGCACAAAAAAAACUCCUGGAAAGAAGCUGAAUUAGUCAUGUUCAUUAAUAAAACGUGAAUUAUUGUAGAACGAGAGCGUGUCCUAAGAAGUCCCCCGGCAGUCUAAGCCUAUAGCAGCUUAACUAAGGGCUGGUCCGGGCUAACCUGAGCCAGCCCUAACUAUAAGCAAGGGGAAGGGCAGACAAUCAGACCAGCACAAGGGGCAAGUUGCCUGAAACGAAAGGGAGGUUGAUUUUCAAAAGAAAACAGGAAAUCACGAGAUACAAGACAACUUGACUAACACCGUUUCCUGGACAUGACAGGACAGAGACAGGCAGGAAUGCUUACGCACACACACUCAACUGUGAAUUAAAAAUAGACGCAGUCGGCAAACACUUCACUCACUGAGCGUUUAUGUAUUCAGAAAUUGAAGAUGUAAUCUGACUCAACUCUGCCUUUUUACACUGAACCAAUCACAAAGACAAAUACAAAAUAAGAGUUCCCAUUAUGCGUUUUAAGUUUGCCAGUGGCUCUUUCCAUAGAAAGAAAUUAGUGCCAAUAUUUGUAGUAGAAGCAUGAAUUAUGAUCCAAAAUCCUCAAGAUUUUUUGGCAAAUUAUAGUGUUAAAAAAUGCCCCUGCAUGAAUUUUCAUUACAUUACAUGUCCUUUAGCUGACACUUUUAUCCAAAGAGACUGCAUUCAACCAUAGGGAUACAAACACAGAGGAUCAAGAAACAAGAAAGUGCAAUUUCCUCAAAUAAGCCAAUUUACAAUUUGCUAUAGAUAAGUGUCAUUACAAGUACAAUUUAAGUGCUACAAAGUGUUAGUCUUUUAGUCGAGGUAGAGUCUGAAGAGGUGUGUCUUUAGUUUGCGGCGGAGAUGUGAAGGCUCUCUGCGGUCCUGGUGUCUUCAGAGAGCUCGUUCCACCAUUUCGGAGAAAGGACAGCAAAGAGCCGUGAUCUACAUGAUUUACAUGAAUCACCUAACAGCUUUGGGAGAAAGGGUCUCAAAAGAAAGGCAACAACUCAUCUCCAUUUCUUACAUUUACAAAAUUACAAAAUAUUUAGUACUCUCUAGGGAGGUCAGGUGGUGUAGUAUAAAGGGCGACUAAGGGGCCGUGCCCGCCAGUACCCGCCGCUUCAUCGAACAAACGGUCCAAGCUCUUUUUCUGUUACUAUUACAACAAUUUCUUAAAAACAUAUCACCACCGUUGUACACGCGGUCCCAUCGGAGACAAAGUGCAUCACUUUUAUGAAUUUUAUUAUCUAUUUGAGCUGCUAUGUAUUUGUUUUGCAUCAUCAAGCAGAGGAAGACUGCUUCAUACUUAUAGUUCAUACUAUGAGCUUGUCUCCGCUUAAACUGUCAACCGAAGGAAUUACAAGAGCCUGUGGGAACAACAAUGUGUGUGUCCUUUUGCUUUUGCUAUUUUAAUGAACAUCGUCGCUGUCACUAUGCAAGUUCACUCAUUAUUCUUUGUCUUUCAUUCAUACUAAUGUGUUCCUUUAUAGUCUUAUUUCAAACAUGUAGUUAUUCAUAAAAACUCUGACUUGCCAGACAGACAAUUAUAAAAAAAAAAAAAAAAUCAGAUGAUAAGUAUUGAGGACAAAAUAAACAACAAAACAUUCAAAAGAAGCAGAUAAUAUCAGGAAAAGGCAUAAUACUUGGAAAAAAGGAUUAAGGAUUUUAGUUGGAUACCUGAAUACCUUAAAAGAUAUUUUGAACAACAUAUACAUUGCAGAACUUUGUGUUUAUGUGCGCUUGAUGUCUGCGCCGGUGUCUCCACUCUCUGCUCUGAUCUCAGGACAGAUCAUACACUCAACACACAGAUAUUCAGGAGCGCACACACACACUUUGGUCCCCUGGAGCUCGUGAGAGGCGGAGAUUGCCUCUUUAAGCUGGAAAUCAAUAUCCUUUCUUACCCCCAUCUCUCCUCCCAUCCUUUCAAUUCCCGGGCUCUCUCCCUUUAUCUCUCUCUUUGCAUCUUACUAUGUCUCCUCCUCCACGCAGAAAAAUUUGCCUCACCUGAAACUCUUUAUUAGGUCGCAGACGCACACAGACAAAAUGAAAACCUCUCACCCUGUUGCCCGUCCCUUAUCUCACCCUCUCUCUUUUUCCCCUGUCAUACUAUCCAUACCUAUACAGCACCGUCGUUCUGUGGAGUCAGUUUGUGUGUAUUUGUGUCCGAGCAGCUGUUUGGCAGUAGUGAGGCCUCCACCUCUUAAUUUGGCCGGGCCAAAAAUACAGCGGGGGGAUUCGGUUAAUGUCAUUAUUUGUGACAUUUGCUUAAUUCUCUAAUUCUAAAUUUAGGUUGAAUGCAGGUAAAACUUCUGUGCUUUGAAAGAGGCUGACUUUGUUGGCCGAAAUGCAAUCUGGGAUCCAGUAGUGAUGAUAAUCAUGCUUUUUAAUGGUUCAAUAUGUCUCUGUACAAAAAGACAAGUCAAGACGUCUCUUGUGCAGAUAAAACAAAGAUAUAACAUAUUAGUGAGCUUUGGAGGUUAUAUGCUAAAUGGUUGGUGGUAACAUGCUCACAAUGAAAAAUCUUUAGCAAAUGCAAUGCCUUUCCAUUUGGUAAUCAGCACCUGGCAAAUUCCCCUACAAUGUAAUUAGAUUUUCCAUUCUCAGCUACAUAUUGCAGUCACUGUUUUAAACAAGCGGUUAAAGAUAUUAAUUGAAACAAAAAAAACAACAAAGAAAAUUAUUUGUAGGCAAAGGAACUUCUUUGUUGGAUUAAGUAAACAUCAUAGUUUCGCUUAAAAUAAACAUAAUUGUUAUGUUUUUUUGAGAUUGAGAGAAAUUGUAUGAAUUCAAUUUCUAGAGAUGCAUUAAAAGAUUGUUCUUCCACAUCCUGGAAUCAUGAUGAACUCUGGAAGGGCAAAGGCUUAUUUUCGUCAGUUCAUCCACUUUGGCUUCGAUUCUAAAAGGUGCUAUUGCAGAGAAAAGAAACCGGGUUCAGUCACACUUUCCAAAAUCUAAUCUGCAUUACCAAAUUAUGCAGGGCCUCAGGUUGACCUCUGAAGCUCUAUUUUCAAACAAGGAUAAGUUGAUCUGUCAUUCAAACACCUGACGUGUGCAUCCAAGAAGACUAAACUAGGACCUUUAUGAAACAGCUGAGCUUAGGAAAAGCAGAUAGACUAUAAGUACAGUAGAUUAAGUAUCCAAGGCAGAGCAGGACGUAGGGCGGUAACAUGACGCAUCGAGCGGUGGCAGCAGAAAAAAAAGAAAGCGAUGGAUGCAUGAGAAGGACGGGUAAAUCAGGAUCAGACCAAAUGAGUCAAUUGGCUGAGAAGAUGAUUAAAAGUGACAAUCACCAUCGCCACCGCCAUCCCGGACCUUCCACGACACCUACUCCAUCCUGACCCUCCCACCCUCUCACCCACCCACUUUGAAGGACGGAGGUUGCUAUUUUUGGCCACGCUUCACUAAAUAAGGCUGUGAAGCAUAGCUGUGAGAACGAGGGCCAGUGGGGGGGGCGUGCGUGUCCGUUUCUUACCUUGGUACCUUGGUAUAAAAUACCCGGGACGGAGGGGCUUUCCUCUGAUCACACUGAACCUUGUGCUCCCACCCCCCUGGCGCCCUAAUGUGCUCUUUUGACACUUUUAACAAGCCAAUGCACAAACCAUGCCUGUGUAUCACAGAACCUUACUUAAGAGUUUGAUCUCUAAUUGCUCCAUCUUUUGUAGUCUUUCUUUAUUCUCUUUUGAUUUUGGAGGAAUUGUUUUUAUCGACAGCUGGACAACAUAUCGGGGGAAGUGAGUGCGUGGAAUAUGUGGGCAAGAGGACGAGAAAGCGUAAGAGAUAAUUUAGCUAAAAACAUCCCCAUCUGCUCCUUCCUUUACCUCCCGCCAUGCUUUUCUUUCUUCUUUUCCUUUUCCUGUCCUUCUCUGCUUCUAACAGCCUUAAUUUCCUCUUUUCCUUUCUUGCUUUGCUUCUCAUCUUGUUUCAUGCAUUUAAUUUCCUCCCCAUCAUUUCUGUUUUUAAUUUUUGUCUUUCCCUCUAUACUUAUUUUCCCUGUUAGCCCUCACCCACUGCCUUCCUUGCUCUCAACCCCUCCCUCCUUCUUCCCGAUUUGUCCUUCAGCCUUGUCAGCACUCACUAUCUCACUCCAUCUCUUUGUCGGGCAGUCCGAUCAGCUGUCUAACUUUACAUGGCCCGGUGUGGUGCGUUGGGACGGCCAGUUGACGCGUCUGGCUGCCCAGUCAUCACUUCCAAUCGAGUCCUCUUACACAAAGCUAUUUUUAUAUUGGCCACUGUUUUUUGCUUACCUGCACCAGGGGUCCUUUUUUUCCUUCCUGGUCUGUUUGUCCCCCUCCUCCUUCUACCCCCAACCAUUAAGAGAGAGAGAGAGGUAAGUCCCAUGACCCUCUUCUCUUCUCACUCCUCCUAUCCUUCUCCUCUCCACAACCUUAAACUCUCCAUCGCUGAUUCGGCUCCCAGGGAGGGGAGACUCUGCCUGCAACCAUCCCCUUCAUUCCUGAUGGGCCAUCAUUCGUUUCUAGAUCCCUGCUGCUGUAAGGUAGGUGUGUUUUACUGUAUAAUGAUGUUUUUUUUGUCCCUGCAUGCUUACUUCUCUGCAUAUAUAUUUUGUUGAAUGUGUGUCUCUUUGUCUAUAAAUGUGCUUCAUCACAGCAACGUUCAAACACACACAGCACAGUUUGUUUCAUCAGCCAAUCUUAUAAAGAUUUAAGGAGCUGGAAAGACUCUUCUCAUUUAUUCAUUACUCCACUGCUCCUGGAGCAGAGCUUCUGAUUCAUAUGUUGGCAAAGAACCAUCGUGACAAAUUCUCACCGGGUUAAAAGGUCAAGGGUAAUUUGUGAGGUGCUCCAGGAGUGUUUUCUGAUCAGCUGGUUCGGCCAUAGUUAAAAUUAAAAAUGAGACUGAAUAAAUUAAAGUUCCAAGAAUGUACACAAAGUCACUAUCUUAUGUUGUCACUUUUUUAUUUGCAGGGUAAUUUAAGUAUUUUGUAUGUAUUUGUUUUACAUUGUUUUAAUUUAUAUUGAAAUAUAUAUAUAUAUAUAUAUAUAUAUAUAUAUAUAUAUAUAUAUAUAUUUUUUUUUUUUUUUUUUCUCCAAAUUCGGCAUUCCCCCAAGCAGUGCUGACAUAUUUUGUACAUUUUUAAACCAGCCUCUAAAUAAAAGCUCUUUCCACGUGGCAUGAGGACAGCACGGUUUAGCGUGUCCUGCUCUGCAUGCUACAUACGCAGUGCAGGACAGGAUUCAUCAGCAGAAACACCACCAUAUUCUAAUCUGCAAUGGGACCUGGGCUCUAUCUAUAGACGGGACACGCACAUACACACACAGUGACACGUGUGUCACUGUUCCAGAGAGAACAGGAGCAAGUUUUCUAAAAGUGUUGUGCAUGUGCUCCUGGCUCUCUGUCCUGGCAAGUUUUUUUACCCAGUUAGCAGAUACCAGGGGGAUCAGUGGCGCUCAGCUGUCAUGUCAAGUGUCUAGAACCCUGAGGUGCGGAGGUGUCGGGUGUCCCGGGACAUUGGCGGCUGUGUGGCAGAUACAGCAGACACGCAGCUGUUUCAAGGGAAUCUGUCUGUGCAGCGAGCGAUGCCCCGCGGGGCUAAAACCUGGCUUCAUAUGGCGUUAGCUUCAGUGCGGAAACUGUGCAUGGUGAGAGUAGGACAGGGUUUAUUAGAGGAGGAGUAUGUAUAUUAUCUUGGUUAUUGGAACGCUUUUCCAUUACUGCACGCUAUUGUAAGGAUUGGUGAAGUGGCGCCAGACUCGUGCAAAUUCCAUCCACUUCCUGCCCCAAGCUGUGUCACGCUGGAGAACUGCAAUUCCUGCCAGGAAUAUCUGAGGACGUGGAUCGGCGGCUAAAUUAUUUCAAAUGUGUCAACGUCUAGUGCUGGAGUGUGUCUUUCUGAGUGUGUGUGUGGGCGUUUUACAAAGGGUUUCCCAAAAGCCCCCUCGCGUACCAUCCACGGCCAGUGAUUUACAAAUCUUUCCUUUUCGUUGUGUGGAGACAAAUGAAGGGAGGAAUAAGGAAGAGGGAUAGAGGAAGGAUGAGUGUGAUUUAUGAAAGAGACUUUUAGUUUAAUUACUGGACGGGCAAGGCCGGUGUGCAAAGCCCCUGCUGCGCUGCUAGCACACAACAGGGCUCUUAGCAGAGGGUGACACAUCCUCACUUUGUGCGUUUCAAAAUGCACGCAAUGCAGCGUGCCUCAGAUUGACGACACACCAAUGUGAAAAUGUUAUGCACUAGGACAGAAACAUGGAUCUUUUGUCCCACUCUAUGCCCCAUGUCCCUUCUUCCACACUGUCGUGGAGAUUUGAUUUGCUUUAAUUGUCACUCAGAGUGAAAGGUGGAUUCCUUGAUAUUGCAGUUUCGGCAAUGACAACGCUUUUGGGUCCAGUGCAUGCUGGGGAAUAUCUUUUGCCCCAACUAUUUUACACUACCAAAGUGGUAAAAAAUGGCAACACAAUACCUGCUCGUCACACGUAACGCAACCACAUACGUUAACCAAUAAUAACCUCACAGCAAGUUUAACAGUAUUCGAGAAAAAAGCAAUUCCAACAAUAACCCUGAUUUUCUGAUGCCCCCGCUAUAAGUCUCUCGUCUUCGUUAGCCACCCUUCGUUAGCAAUGGUUCAAUUCAUUGAAAGUCCGACUCAGCCAUUGUGCAUUUUCCUCUAAAUUGGUAUUGAUCUAUGAGAGAACAAGGCGGGGGUGGAGGGUGGGAGACAGUAGAAGAGGGUGGUGAGGUUGUGGUUGCUGGUGGAUCAGGCACUGUGGCUAAUGGGGUGGGUGAGGGGGGGCAGGGGAUCUCAGCUAACAAAGGGCAAUUAAAAGAUGCACGUGCAGACACACACAUGCUGACACACAUUCACAGACACACGCACACGUAUCAGCAUUCCUUCAGUCAGCUCUGGCCCUCGUGGCACCUGUACAUUCACCCAUAUCAUCAUCCGCUCAGGGGACGGUAACGCUGGCGUAUUUUGACUAAGAGAGUCCGGGACAUGGAGAGAGAGACAAUCAGACAAUGCUGUAUGUGUAUGUGUGUGCUUCAUUGACAGAGAUAGAUACAAAUAAGAGGAGGAAGUGCUAUGAGCGGCAGAGGACCGAUGGGACGGGUCGCUGUGCACCGGACUAAAAGUUUUCAGUGUGAGGAAGAGAGGAGAGAUUGUGGAGAGGAGAGGGAGGGGGGCCGAGAGAGGAUGUCAGAAGAGCGCGUGUGUGUGGCUGAACAGAGAGACUGCAGAGGCACCUGGGACACAGACUGAGAAAAGAGACAGAGGGAAGCGCUUCUUCUUUCUCCUGUCUUCUUCUUCAUCUCCGCCUCCCACCCAACUACUCGAUUUAAUGCUCCUCUCUUUGGUGCAUCGGCCCAGGCUGAAAAAAGGGAGGAGGGGUGGGGUGUGUGUGGGGGGGGGGGGGGGUCUAUCCAACAUCUGCCUCUAGGUAAGUGCAACAUCUCCCUCCUUUCCCCUAACCCCCCCAGCCUCUCCUCCCCUCUCUUCCCCAUGUCACCCCUUUCACUCCACUGCUGCAGGUGAACCUCAAGGUGAAUGUGGUGCCGUGUGUGUGUGUCUAUAACGUACUUCAUAAAACACAGCAUGUCACAGCGGAGAGGACACUGUAGUUCUGCUUUAAGACUGCGGCAUUUCUUUUUAAACGUCUUCUUUCCGGACAGCUGAGUGAAAUUAACUUUUAAAAGCGUCUUCUUCUCUUGGUGACAGUGCAGCGGUCCUCUGAUGGAAUGGGUACAAGUUGGUCCGCCGUGACUCACUGAUUAGACUUUUAAAAGACUUCUGCUUAAAUAGUGAGUUGUGGUUUUCUGUGGUUUAAACAUCUUUGGCUGCUUAGAAGGACAAGCUCGGCCUGUUUUUUAAAGCAGUGGGAUCAGUAGGAGUUGUUUUCGGGGGGAGUGUUCUAGUGUGCUUUUGUAUGAAAUUCUGUUAUUUUCAACAUGUAUGCGCUAAAAUCCUAGUCACUGAGGUGCAUAGGGACGCCUCAGCAUGCCAUUGAGUCAACGUUAUUUCCUUCCCGUGUGCCGGGGGGAGGUGGUUGGUGGUGAUCGUUGGUGAUGGUGAGGAGUGGGCCAGAUUGCACCACCAAGGACAGUGGCCUGCUUGGGGAACAUACUUCUUUAUAUGCCCAUAUGAACACGAGCAACUAUGGAAUGUAAAGAAGUAUGUAUCCCAGGUUGGGAAAAAUUACUGCAAACGAAAAUAAAUACCUAAAGCAAACGUUUAACCCUUGGAAACUCAAUUGGAGAAGAAUGCUCCGCAUGCUUUGCCCCCAACAUAAGUUGCUUUAUGUGGAUGCACGCUUUUUCCAGCCUCGCCUCUGCAGAGGGAUGCAUACAGUGGGAGCUGUUGAUGCAGCUGCAACUCCAGUCAGCAAUUUUCUGCUUGACCGCCAUUGAUUUUUUUCUCUUUCUCUGUCUUUAAUAGUUUUAUUGUGGCUAGGCCGACAUGUUUCUGAUUCACUUAUAACAAUGUUUUUAAAACCGCUUCUGCAUUAUUUGGUUGUACUCUUUUUUUAAGUAAUGUAUUACGAUUUUUGUAUUGGAUAGUUUGAACUUGACAAAACAACAAAAAAGUAGUAGUACAAAAAAAGUACAUGCACACACACAGACAGCAGUUUCCAGUAAAAGGUGGAGUGAUUAAACGCCGGCUGAUGGAUAGUAAUAGGUCAGAGAGUAUGAUAAGAGCGAUGAAGAGGCAAAGACGGGCCUGUCGGACUUUUUGGUAGAUUACUAUACCCGCCACUCUGUGUGUGUAGUCUCUCUGUUUGGCCUCCUGUUGUAAAGGCUAUAUGUCAUGGUUUUAUGGUCAUCAAAAUUUGGUAAAAGAAAUACAUUUUUUUUCAUUUUCACUGUUCAGAUGAUGUAGUUGGUUUGUGUGUUCUUUCCAAAGAUAGAGUUGCUAUGACGUCCCGAAUUUGUUUGUUGGCUUCUCUUUGGAAGCUCGGGUUUGCAUUUUUGCCAUCUUGCCAUUGGUUUUUUUGCAACCAGCAGCAGCAAAUCACUAACCUGGAUUGGCUUUGGGAGGAGGUACAACAAGUAUCAGGUUUUUAAUCAUGUAUUUUGGCCUACUUUGUAUAUAAAUACUAUAUGUGACCCAGUUUGGGUUAAGCUGUCCCUGUUAAGGUGUUAUUUGGACCAGUUUCAGUCCGCUAAUUUGUCCCUGAUAAGGUGCCCACCACCAGGGGGUCAUAUUGCAAAUGGUGACCACUGGGCCGAAAAAGAUUCAUAUUUUAGGGGGGUCAUCAACAAGGAGAUCCUGUAUGAUGCAAUCAACUGUAUUUGAAAGCUAGCUAACCAUCUGACGGAUGUGGGAAUCGGAGCAAAGUGAGUUGUGGCGACUGACAGUGUGAGCUGACUGGAUUGAUUAUGACAUUAAGGGCUGGUGUGUGUUGACGGGGGGGCUGGGCGGGUAUUGUCGCUUUGCCUGUGUCAGCAGGUGGAAGCUCUCAUCAGGACAUUAACUAUGCAACAAUGCUGACUGCGGCACCAUGCUGAGAUGACCAAAGACGGACAGCAGGGAUGGGCAGGCGCUACAACUAAAUGAGUGCUCUUAACCGAUCUAUCAGCACACACGUAUAGGGAUACCUGGGGCUUGUUCUGGGACUGGCCCUGAAAUCCAUCCCUGCUCUCCUUGUCUGACUCGCCAGCUGGUUUACCCCCGGAACCCCACAAGGGCAAAACUGGUAAUCCAGGGUCCGGUAGAGGGAUUAGCAGCAGUUACAAACCGAUCAGCCAUGCAGAACAGUGACACUUGGAAGAAUGUAAACAUAGACAUUUUUUCCAAACGCUACGAAGUGGCUGACCGAACGCAUGUGUGAGCGGAUGUUUUAUUUACAGCUCUCUGCCGACUGAAGAUAAACCUAACCACUUCAAAUGCCCCAGAAAUCAGGGGGUCCUCUGGCGACUUUUCAUAAAUGUAUCAUUCUACUUUUGUCAGAAUAAACUUCAGAGUUAACACUUUUGAUUAAAAAAUUGAAUAAUUUUUGCUGCAGCGUCAAAUGUAGUCAUCCAGGGAAGUGCUGCGUUGGACAAACAAAUAUGGUGAAGCGCAAAAGACCUGCAAGUUCCUGCAUUACUAGCUCCUGUCUGUGAGUGUUUGAACCCAUGGUUGUGCAGAAUAAGCCUUUAAAAUGUGUAUAGUGACCUUAACUAUGAGGAUCGAUUGUUCGUGCACAUCACAUCUGCCCUACCACUCUUUGGAGCUGUUGCCGUGCUGCAUCCAAAGCAGCAUUUAAAGCAGUGUUCAUUUGGUACAAUCAGCCACACAAGUGUUUACAGCACUAGUGUCAUUCAGGCCUUGUAAGUUAAUUUACAUUGGAUAGCUCAAUAACUUUUUCCUGGUUGUAAGAGUGUGUGGUGUGUGUCUGUGCAAAAUUUACAAUUAGAUUGUUAUACAUGUCCUGCUAGUUGAAGGAUACAGUACAGGGAGAGGAGCUAUGUGCAGGAUAGAGAUAGUAAAACUAGUUUCAUUGUAAGUGUCAGAGUUUACUGCAAGAAGUUGUGUACAGCAUAUCCACGGAACACAAAAGCAAUGGAAGUUGAAAAGGUUGCGUUGCAGUGGUAAUGUAUGUGUCGUCCCGCCCUGACACGGGGACACAGAAACGGCCUAUUGUAGCCCCUCUAUACUGUAUUUAUGUCUCAGAAUCUCAGAAGAAAUUAUGUUGUGAUCAUAUUACCAAUCGUUCCAGCUUAAAUGUGUGUUUUAACUUGGGAAAUAGUCAGGCUAAAAGUUUUUGUAAACUAUUGUGGGUAACAAUAACCAUUUGUUAACACAUUGUAAAUAUAUCUUACUUGUAUAGCAAUUGUAUUCUUCUUCACUCGGGGCGCUAUACAGUAAUGACGGGAGCCUAACUAACCAUUCAUACCCAUUUAUAUACUGUGUGCACGAUUUGGAACAUGAAUUUGGGGUUAGUUGUCUCUACCAAGGAUACAUCGAUAUAGGCCGGCGAUCGAACCCAAAAUCCUCCACCUGAAGGAUGAUCUUACUCUACCAGUGAGCCUCAGUUGCACUACUAAAGGGGCAUUGGUUAGGUUAAGGCAUCAGAACUACUAAAUUAAGAUUUUAAACAAAACAUGGUUUGGCUUAGAAUUAUAAUGUGAAAUACCGUGACAUAUUAAUGACAGUAAAAAUCACUGCCAACAAACUUUGGGUUUGGCACUAGAGACAAUUUUCUGUCCCAUCCACCAGCCCUCCAUCACCGUGCACACCACAUCAGCUGCUCUGGAUCUAAUACUGACACGGAUGGCUUACGUCGGAAGUACUUGACUAAUUUGGCGUGUCUCACAAAGACACUAAAGGGGACCAAGACUCAGCAUUUGGCUAUUUUCUAAUAUGCACACAUUAUAUGGACAUAUCAUAUCUGUACUAUUGACCUACUGCAGCAGCUUUUAUUUGUAGCAUUAGCGAUGGGCUAGAGACAAGAAAAUAUGUAAUUUCAGAGUUUGCACUGGCAAACCACUCAGGUUUAACUACUUUGUUAAAGAUUCCACUUAUUAGAGCUGGAUUAUGCGCUGUAGACGUGUCACGGAAACUGCGGCAGAGAAAUUAAUCUCCCUAAAAAAUGACUUCAGACAACCUAAUGAAUUACUCAUAAUCACAAGCCUUAAACGUCAAUUAGUUAAUUGGCCCAGAGAUUUAAUGUGAGAACGGUGGCUCACCGACUCAAAAGGAAACUAGGAAUCGAUUAAGACAACACAUUGCAUAAUGAGAAACCGAAUUACAAUUUAGCGAUUAAGUCUUACAUUCUUUGCGAGUGGAUUGGAGCCGAGGAGCUUCACCCUGCCCUUCAACACACACUCUCAUAUACACAACUCUGAAAAGCCGAUCGGUCCCGGGACAGAGAUCAAUGUUCAGGUCAUUUGUUUUGCACAAUUAAACAGACAUCUGUUUGAAUUAGACUCCAACAGACUGCAGACGGCCUAUAUACACAUAUAUAUAUAUACACACAUAUAUAUAUGUGUAUAUAUAUAUACAUACAUAUAUAUAUACACAUAUACCUACAUACAUACAUAUAUAAAACCCCUUCCUAUCCGCCACUGUAUAGAUGUAUGCAAAGGACACACACACACACAUGAGGUGAGAACACAAUGAAAGUCACAACUAAACAGCUACAAGGUAAGAAAUCUAACAUCUCAGCAGAAAGUAAUUGAUUGUAAGAUGUUCAUUAUUACGUCGCUUUGCAGUUAAGGUUGCCUCUUAUCACAUGUUUCCUUCUGGGAUGCAAUGCACUGAGGAAAAACUCUAUCUGGACUGAGAAAUGCCACGGGCAACUUUGCCCACAAGGGGUGCAGAAAAGAGGUAGAAGGGAGUUGUAUUAGUCCAUGUGUAAUUUAAGAGUGUUCUCUGUCUAAGGAUGCUGCUGACGCAUGAAUCUGUCCUUUAUUGUUUGAUAUGAGAAGGCAGGGUCCGCUACCAUUCAAAUGAACACACUACAUAAUUGUUAUGCAGUGAAGCUGUAAAGCAAAGGGAUGUAAUUAAAGAAACAAGGGCACUGUGGUGGUUGGCCGCUUCCUUUGAGUCCACAUCGCAAAUGUUCCACUUGUCCCACUGCUCGAUGGAUAAUACCCACAGUUUUACUUGCUGAUUGCCUCUAACGACGGCCUCGUAAUAACUGUGCCGAGGUUCACAAUCAGUCCUAACAUUCUAAUUAAACUCUGUCCGUGUUCAUGAGGAUCAUAAUGCUUUUUACAUUACAUUACAUUUAGCUGAUGCUUUUAUCCAAAGCAACUUACAUUACACGUUAAACCCAUGGGUUUUACAUUUUGCCCGGGGAGCAAUUAGGGGUUAGGUGUCUAGCUCAGGGACACUUCGACUUGAGACAUGGGGCAGCCGGGACUCGAACCACUAACCUUGCGAUUCCCAGCGCACCCGCUCUACCCCCUGCGUCACGACGACCCCUUUUUAAAAAACACAGUAAUUGUAAGUUGACCAAAAAAUGAGGAGAUUGAGGCAUUUCCCUCUGAUGACGACGUGCGCUGUGGGCUGCGAUUUACACCGCAGAGUAAACCCUCCGCUUUUUUAUUGGUUCAACAUACAUUUGUGUUGAAGAAUAUACAGUAUGCUGUAGCACAGUGGAUAUAUGCAUCCUUUGGGUUCACUCCUUUGUCUUAAGCUAGAAAAUUUAUUUUUGAUUUAAUUUAAUUUAUUUUGAACAAUUUAUUGACUGCUGUUGCAGAAUAAAAGCAAGAGUUUGCCAAAUGUUUUUGUAAUGUAAGCCUAAAUACAAAAAUAGUUACAUCAAGUGUGCGGGACCCUGUGACACACUCAGUCUGCCCGGGCUAUAAAGCAGUCCGCCCCUUCCUGUGAGCACAAUCGUACAUCUCAGGGGACGCAAGUGCAGCCUCAGAACAAGACUAGUUAGCAUUCCUCCUCCUUCAUCACUUCCUGCUCAAAAAAGGAAACAAAGUAGGAAGUAGAUGCUGGAGUUAGAAGAGGUGACAGACUGAAAAGUGAAAGUUAGAAUGGAUUCGUGGUGGCACAUUAGGACUCAGAAUUAGUGCAACAAAAUGCAGUGUUUUAUUUUGGCGGGAUAAGGGGGACGGCUUACAAUAAAGUAGAAGAAGAAAUAUCAGUCAAAAGAAUGGGGGGGAAAAAGAUUAGGGUCAUAAAGAACAUUGAUGAUGAUGAACGAUAGAGAAAAAGUAAAGAGAAAAAGUAAGUUGUGCGUGGUGAUCUAUUCCACCGGUCGUUGUAUACUUUGAGAUAAUUGCUUCCAUUUUGUUGCAUUGAGACUGUUACAGUGUAUGUAAUACACCAUCCGGCUAACAUGAUUACCAACAGUUGGCUUUACAGAGCAGCAGUAGUAGUAGCAGCAGCGAGGGGGCUUCUAGGAAGUCUAGUUUUGGUGCUUAUGGCCCUCAGGGCUGUCGUGGUAGUAGGAAGGAUUCCACUAGCGGACUGGACACGUUUUAUUUUCCAACCUUUGGAUUCCAGCAACAUCAGCACCUUGAUGAGAAUUGAAAAUGUCAUCUACGAAGAAUUUGUCAAAAAGGCUUCCCAGAAUUGUCUUUUUUUUCCAUGAUGUUUUGGUGAUAAUUUUCUUUUAUAUUUGAAUCACGGGAGAGAUAGAUAACACAGGAAGUGUUAUUAGCACACAAAAUGCUUUCUUUAACCAGGACGUUGUGUGUCAUGUAACAUAAUAUUUCCAUGUUAUACUGGUCAGAUCAGUUUUCCUUUCAUGUGUCUCCAGCACUCAUUCGGACACACGGCUGAGAGGGCUGCACUAACCGUCGAUGUCAUAGCAGUGGCAGGGAGAGAGACUCCUGGGCUCUUGUGGUUUGUUAUGGGAAUAAUAAAGCUAUGGGUCAGCAGGGCGUUCUGGCCCCGGGCACAAGGUCCCUAAAGGAGGAGGAAGUGGAAACAUUGAAAGGGGAGCGAUGGAAAAAAAGGAGGAACAAUUUUCAAUAGAACAUGAAUGCAACUCAAAAUGCAGAGGACACUGAUGGAGCCAUCCAUCUUACAGUAAUGUGAGUUUCACCACUGUAGUCUUAAAAAAAGUCCCCAAGAGUCCAGUGAAGUUCUCUCAAUGGAGGAUCCACAUGCUGGUUCUUCUUUCAAAGGCUAAAUGAGAGUCAGUCAAACCCCUUUUGUGUCCUAUAGUGCUCAACAGAGAAUGGAGGGGAGGGGAGGUAGUGCAAUGCAGGAGGAGAGGAUAUAAUUAGAUAUAUCAUCUAAAUAGGUAUUGAUCCUUUUAAGGGUGUUGCAUUUAGAUUAAAAGGUUAAGGAAUAAAACCGCGUUUGGGGUUAAAUCAAGAGAGGCAGAAGAUAAACCCCGCAAUAAU
ensembl:lncRNA